CGCUAUCACUGUCACUCUCCAUAACAACCUUACAUUAUUAGCUUACGAUGUGUCGCUUUUGCACCUAUGCUGUACACGUCAAAGUUUUAGGGAGAAAUCGUGUCCUGAAAUUUUGCCUGUCUUCGAAGAACACCUGUUUACCAUGCCAUCUAUGAAGCCAUUUAAGCUCGCCCAAUUCCUUACGGAAAUUUCAUUUACACAUGGGAGGGUUGCCUGUGGCGGAGCGCGGACACCCUCCUUAACGUUCCUCUAAAAUGCAAGUGAAGUCCAUGCAUGGAGCUGAAGGUAGAAAUGAAAUUCCAUGUGUUGUGAAUUGUCUGACACCUUUCAAUAAGAGCACUGUAACGCUUUUACUCCAUAUGCAUAUACAGGAAAUCUUGUAUAGCAGAAGGAUUCCAUAAUCUAAAAAAAAAAAAAACUUUAUGCAGCAAGAAUGGAACCCUGAAAAGCUGGGAAUGCAUUGCCUGUCGAAAGAAACCAAUAUUUACAAUAAGGUCAUGGCAUUGUAUCCCAUUGUGCUAAUGGUUGCAUAAUUGAAUCUGGAAAGCACAAUGUUCAUCUUCGUUGCUGGUUUUUAAGCUUUCAUUGACAUUCAAUAAAGAAAAGUCUAUGUGGAGUCUCCCCAAGCUCUUUGCAAGAUGCACAACAGGACUGCAUCUUGCAUCCGCCUGUGUAACAGAUUUUUUUCGCUUGCUUAGUCAAGGAAGCCCACCUAACCACAUGGAAAGAGCUUACUGGAUUUGCACCACAUAACUGGUUCAUGGCCAUAAUUUAUGAGAAAAUCCAUGCUCACUCAUGCUGCCUCUCACUCAUGCUGCCUCUGGAUAAAUUUCUUAAUCUCUGCCAGAAAUGCCUUCUUCCUAUUCUCAAAGUCCCUGAGCUACCCAACUUCUUGACCCUCAAAUCCCAUAGAUGUGGUCAACAAAUCAGAUUUCGAUAAUGGCACAGGGUGAUGGGGCUAUGUUCUCACCUGAAACUUCAUCCUUACUUUCUAAAUCAAUUAGAAGAUUCUCAUGGCUGCAACUUCUUGACCUCUGCAUAUCUGCAUAUUUGCUUCAUCAAACUCAUUACAAACAAGCUUCAGGGCCUGAACCACUUCACCCAUAAAAGGGCGGUGAGAAACUUCUGGUUGCACACACAUUGAUGCAAUUGCUGCUACUUUGGUGAUGGUAUCAAAUGAGACGGAGGACCUUAUAGUUGGGUCUACUAUCGCUUCUAAGCCCUCCUUGCAUGUGAGGAGCGGGCGAGCAUACACAACAAGAUUUUCUUGACCUGGUGGUUGAGACAAAUCUACAGGUUUCCGUCCGGUUAGGAGCUCAAGGAGGACUACACCAUAGCUGUAAACAUCACUCUUCACCAGAAGGUGACCCAUCAUUGCAUACUCUGGUGCCAAAUAACUGGUAACAAGAAAUAGCAUAUGAUAAGAUAUGCGUUUAAGUUGUAAAACAAAUUCUGAAAAAAUAAAUAAGUAACCUGAAGCAUGCCUUGAUUCAUCAAUUCACUUCCUUAACUGCCAAUAAAAUGUAUAAAGAUAAAUCAGAGUAAAUUAUACCCAAAAGUUCCCAUAAUAUGUGUGGAUAUGUGUUUAUUUCCCCCAUCCACUGCUGCCUUAGCCAAGCCAAAAUCUGAAACUUUAGGUGUAAAAUCAGGUUCUAACAGUAUGUUACUAGACUUGAAGUCUCGAUGAAUCACGCUAGGGCUUGAGUCUUCGUGCAAAUAUGCUAGGCCCCGAGCUGCACCUAGGGCAAUCUUCAUCCGGGCAUCCCAGUCAAGUGGAUCUGUUUCCUGGUCAACUCCUACAAUAACAGAAAAACAGCACUAAGUAAAACCACUUCAAGAAAUCAAUGAUCUAGAUAUAACAAAUACAUAAAUAUUUUUGGUUUUUACCCACCAUGUAAAUGUGAUUCGACACUUCCAUUUGGAAUAAGUUCAUACACCAGGCAACGGGUAUGGCCUUCUGUGCAAAUACCAACCAAUUUAACAAGGUUUCUGUGAUGCAGACGGCUGAGCAUCUCAACUUCUGCCAAGAAUUCACGGCCACCAUGCUGGUCAUCUCUCUUUAAGACCUUCACAGCCACUUCUCUUCCAUCAUCUAACAAGCCACCGUAGACAAGCCCAAACCCACCUUCUCCGAGGAUUCGUGAAGCAUCAAAGCUAUUGGUGGCUCUCUCUAUGUCAUUCAAAGUAAAUGUCUUUGCAGAUCCCGUAUAUGUCAUUGCCCCAGAGCUGAGGGACAUAGAUUCAGAAGUGGGCAUACUUCCAAAAAUCAUAGGCCCAGUAGCCCCUGCCAGGUAUAAACUGGAAUCUAUAAGCUCAAACAUUACAACAACAGACAAAGCUUGAUUUUAUGAUGUAGAAUGUACAACAUACAAGGAUUACCAUAAAUGCAAGUUAAGUAGGAAAAAGUUUUUCAUGCAAGGAUGCCAGUUCUAACAUCUCAUUUUCCAAGCAAUGAAAAAUAAAAUUAUUUAUCAAAAGAAAAGAAGAAAUUUUUUUGACAUAGAAUGUAGAAAAAAUAUUUGGAAAAACAAUUUGAAAUCACUAAUUUCAUUAGAAAAAAUAAAAAGAAGAUGAACUUCAUGAUUCAAGUAGUGCAUAACUUUAGGGCUUUCUAGAACAAGUUGUAUAAGAUGGUCAAAGUUUCUGUACCUGACGCUUUUACUGGUGAGGACUCUAAUUCCUGUAGAACUUGUUGAGGUUCAUGAACCUGAGUUCCACAUUUCAACAGCAAAAGCCAAGCAAUUGCCAUGCAUAUAACCAAGACAGUGAAAGAAGAGAGAACUAUUACAGCCACCAUGCUUCCACCAAGCCCCUUUUUUUUCCUCCUUGGUACAUCAACUCCUAAAGGUUUAUUUGUCCUUCCAUUGUUAUCAUGGCCGGUAUAUGGUCCGUCAUCAACAGUAGAAGUGCUCUCAGGUGAAGGUGGAGAUGGUGGAAGACCUGCAGGUUAUAAGAGAUUCAGAAGUUAGAAAUCCAAGACAAGUAUGAAGUCUAAAGUCUAAAUGAGUAACUUUUAUUUGAAUGGCAGGGAAGAAUAACUCCUACAGGCCAACAGCAAAUCAAUAUGGCUUGAAGUUUUUUACAUUGUCAAAACAAGAGGUGAUGAGCAAAUAUUCAGGAGCAUGAAUUUAGGAAAACAAAAGGCAAUAUAAGAAUUAUAACACCCCUCAAUUAAACUGCUUGAGAAAAAGCCCAUAUGGGCUUUCUUUCAUCAGACACUUCAGCAAUAAAAUGGCCUCAAUGAAAAGUCCCUCAAAACAAUUAGAAAGUGUUCAAGGAUGAGUCUAAAGGUUUAAAUGAUCCCAGUGAAGUUUGGCAAAGGUUAAAUUUCCAUAAAAAUAAAAAGAUUUUCAGGGAAGUUAAAAAGAUGACCUGGAUAGUGAACAUAUAAUACUUCAUAGGCACCAAAGAGGGAAGGCUUUAUGAGAACUUGUCUGUUCCAAAAUUUCUUGUAGAUUGAAAAUGCAGAAGAAUCAUCAAAUUUUACUCCUCGUGGAACCAGGUUGAUGAGAACAGUGCUUUUCUCUAGCUCCUGACUAGCAGCAUUUGCUCCCAUGAUGCGGACUUGGCUGUGGUUUAGUGCAACACUUGCUGCAAUUUCCUCAGCUAACUCUGUAACCAAAGUGAAGAAUGUGUCUAUUGCGACACUAAAACGGAGUUUAACUUGAAUUGGCCACACACAUCCACAGGGUGAUCCAGCAGGCGUAUAUGUUAAUGGCUCUGAACAUGUUGGUGAUGUACAAUCUGCAAAUACCUCUAGCAAUAAGCACAUGCGUGAUAUUCCAAAUUUAAAUGAUGGUGUAAUGGAUAUAUUAUACUGUGAGGUAUGUGCAUAUUUUUACCUUCAUUAGGAGGUGGAGGUGGCAGAGUCAGAAUCUGUAAUGGUGGUGGAGCCUUCAUCUUCUUCAAGGAUGGAUCAAAAGGAGACAUUGCAGGUGGAUGAGAGCGCACUUGCAGACAGAAAACAUGAUCUCAGUGAGAUAUUUGUAAGCAAUCACCAUAAUGAAGUUACAGAUUCCAAGAUUAAAUCAAAUACAAAAAAGUUAGGAUCCUGUACUGGUAAAAUUGCUUGCAGGUGAUAAAGCAGGUACAGGAGACUCCCAGCUCAUUGAUGGAAAUGGAGAGGCAGAAGGGCCUAAAAAUUCAGAGAGAAAUUUUUUACUUCCUGAGGUAAUGCUCAACUGGCAAAUUAAUGUAAUGCAUUUAUUAAGGUCCCAUCAGGUUAGAGAAUCCUACCAAGUGGGUUAUAUUCGGGGGGAGGGAUUCGGUAGGAUGGUUCAGGAAUUUUGACAUGGUUCCUUCCACGACCAUGGUGUCUGUGAUUUGAGAUUGAAGGAGAAUAUGCAGGUCUGUGAACCCAUUCUUUUGCAGGAGUUCCAAAAGAUGAAAUAGAAGGUGCAAGUGCAAUACUUGAAGGCCUAAUGGCAUAGUGUGGAUGAGGAGCUACAACUGGAAAAUAUGUUUUUAAAAAACAAUAUACAUAUAAUUAAAGGCAUAGUAUUCCUUGAGGUAACUUGAAUCUUAAAAGUGAAAAAAUUAUGUUAGACUACCCACUGACCUUUAGUUGGAGAGUGAUCCGAAGAUGAUGAAAUGUGGGACGCUUUGUAAGAAGGUGUGACACCUUUGUUUCUAUGUCUUCCCCUACUGAGGUUGGAAGGAGCUUGCUUUGAAUAGAAGGCAGGGUCUGUAUCAUAGAAUUUAUAUAUAUAAAGAUUCAAUCUGUAAUCAAUUUAAGAGGCAUCUAUGUAUUGUUUUGUGCUACGCAGUCAAAUGCAAGGGUGUAGAGAUGCAGCUUACUGUUGUCUUCCAUUAUCUGAAAAUAUAUCUUUCAUUUUAUAGAACAUAAAUUUAGAAUUGAAUAUUUGGAAACAGUUCCUGGCUACCCUCUUCAAUAUGUUAUCAAAAGGAUCCAGGGAAAAAAUCUGCAUAGAAUAAUAUUGAAUGCUGUUUCCAUUUUUAGCAAGACACAUUUGCAGCAGGAUAUGAAAUUUUGUUCCACGAUUAUAAUGCAAUUUCAUUUUUUUCUUUAAGAAAAUUUUUUCACCUGGUUGAAUGGACGGCUGUUGGCUUGGCCUGAUUGGGGAAGCAGUAGGGGGCUUUUGAGGCAAUCUGCUUGGUGACGGUGCAACUGGUACUGCAGCAUCAAUGAAUUACCAAUGCAGCAUUACAAUUUGAAGCACACAAAAGUGGUGUUCAUCACGUAUGAAACAAAAAGAUUCGAUUGCAUCACAUAUGAAGCACAAGAAGAUAUAAUUUGCAAGAGAUUGAUAAUUGACUUGAUUCCACAGGAAACAUGCAAAGAGUGGGCUUGGUGCAAAAUGUUAUACAAGUACUUCACUAUGAAGGUUUACCUUCCCAAAAUUGAAAUAUUUUGAGUGUGAAUUUUCAAUUUGUUUAUUCAUUGAAUGAUAAAGAACAGCUCAACUUCAGAGACUUCGCCAGCAAACAUUUAGAAACAGCAUAGUAUUGAAGGCUUGGGGAACAUGCGUCUUACUGUGAGUGUAAGUUGCAUCAAUUAUAUCUUCAACUAGCUGGCAAGCAAUGGAAAAGAAAAUGUGUAAAACGUGUCGCAGCCCGAUGAUUAAAGCUCCAUGGCUAUUGAGGGAAGGGAGGCGUAGAAUGCUUAUGGUAAACUGAAUUGUGAGGUACAUCAUCAACCAUUAUAAAGCUGAUUGUAUAACAGAUAAUUAAAUCUAGAACCUGCAAAGAUACCCCUUAGCUGAUUUUCUCGACAAAUACAUGCUCUUUCAGUUACAUUCUGAUUGCAAGAUCAAGAAAAGUCAUACUCUAUUGGUUCUAGUACUUUUUGUAUUAUCAUUUUGUGGUCAAGACAAUGAUAAAUGAUAAAUUUUUCAAGCUUUAAUUAGUAUCCGUGAAGCUAAGAGCUACGAUAAUGCAUUUAAUGCUACAAAUGCUGUUGUUAACUCUGUCACAAUGAUAAUGGCUGCAUAAGCUGCGCAGCAGCUUUCAAACCAUAAGAUCAGAUAAUGAAGUACAUUGAUGAGCCUAUGGGUGGUUUUCGUUUGUGAUGGUAGACUGGUAGCAUAUACUCGUGAAGAUGCUAACAACGACAGCUCACUGCUCAGACCUCACUGCCUGGCAGUAACAAGCAAAAGCAGGGAUUUUGGAAUGACCACCACAGUUGAAUGGCAUUUUCACAGCUGAUUGAGUAAACAAUAAAUCUUAGCAGUGUUAGUUUUUUUUCCUUCUUCAUUAGAGAGAGAUAAGGCUUCCUUCUUCAUUAGAGAGAGAUAAGGCCUGAUUUAUCAAAGUGGUGCUCAAAAGGUAAAAUUUGAAUGAAAUGAACUAAACAUCUUUCUAUUUUAAGGUUGAUAAAACUGAUAACGCAAUCAAGAUGGGGAAUCCUUGUAAGAUGUAAAACAAAAUCUCAGUUUCAAUGACUGGUAGCAGGGUGGGUUAGCUCAACAUCAGAUUCUGUGCAGAAAGAUCAUGAAACGGGUGCAGGGACACGUCUGAGCAAAUUCAUGAUUCAUAAUUCUCACUGUGUGACCUACCCUUUAGAAAAUGUGCAUCCCUCACAAACAAGAGUAAGGAGGUUCUUGCAUACAAUGGAGUUGCUUCUAAAGCUGUUGGUCCUAGAUACAACCAAGCUAUAUAACCCAGAUUCUCAAAUCCAGUCCAAAUUAAAAACUCAGCAGAGAUUAGCAUGUAGAGUAUCAGCUAGUGGACGGAUCAAACAUAAUUCAAUGCAAGAACCAACUACAAAGGGUAAAGACCAAACCCCAUUACCUGGAGAUCCAAGAACAGACAAAGCACCACCAACUACGAACAUGAUCACCAGCACAAAACCCUCCAGCUGCAUCCCCAUUUUCACUUGUAAAGAGACUGAAAGAUCCCCUCCUAAUAUCUCUCAACUCUCACCCGACCAUCCAAGUGAAGGAGGAUAUGUAUUGAAAAAAAGUAGUAAAAACUCGAAUGACAUUACGAUGCAAAACAUGAGUAGAAGACUUAAAGGAACAAACUACCCUACAGUGUACAUGUCACAACUCACACUACUUUAAAAGAAAAGAAGAGACCCACCCAUACAGUAAAAGAGAAGUAAUGAGUUGAUGAACUAAAAGCACACAAAGAAUGAGUUAGGUGGGGAGAACCUACAAAGAGUACAUGGCUCUCUUUUUCCUUUCCCCCUCAGACUAAUAAGAAAUGAAGCUUUGCCUUUGUUUUGUUAGUAGAACUGAUCAAAGCUUAAAAGGCGUAACAGUGCCCUUAAAACAACUGGGUGGGUGGCACUUUUAAGUUUAAAAGGUUGGAGAGUUCCACGAGGUUAGUGGAUGUGUGGGAUCAUUUCAUGGCUGAAAGUUAUCAUCAAGUGCUUUGAUAUAAGAAUUGCUGACUUCUUUUUCAGCUGAUAGUGGCAAAAUGAUCUCUCCAAGCACUCUAUCUGUGGAAAUAUUAAUGUUUUUUUGCUAAAGUUAGGUUUGCUUUGACUCCCUCUCUGUGAUUAGUGCUAAAUUAUUGAUUUUUUUCAAUCUUUCGUGGUUUGAAUGGGGACUGUGCCAUCAAGUCAAACUAGUUUUCUUCUUUCUAUAUUUUUUUUAUUGAUGUUAUUUUUUCUUCAAACUUUUUAUUUUAUAGGUGGUUAACUUUUCCUCCUAACUGUUAUCAUGAGUUUAGCAGUUAAUUUAGUAUAUUCGAGUUUUUUAAAAAAAUUAAUAUUAUUUUAAUAUUAUUUUUUAAUAUUGAAUGGAUUGAAAAUUAGAUUUUAUAAUUUAUUUUUUAUUUGUUUUUCAUGAGAUUAUAUUGGUCUCAUCACUCGUACCAUGAAUUUAACGAGUUAACCUAGUUAACUCAAGUUUUUUAUUUUUUUUUAAUCAUUUUUUUUCUAUUUUCAUCCUUUAGGAAGGAUUUGAUUAUGAAUUAAGCUUCAUAAUUUAUUUUGAUUUGUUUUCUAUGAGGUUAUCAUCAUCUUAUAACUCAGAUCAUGUAUUUUAUAGAAUAACCCAGAUAGACUCAAGUUGUUUUGUUUUUUUUAAUCUUUUUUUUCAUCAUUCAGCAAGGAAUUAAUUAUAAAUUAGGUUUCAUGAUUUAUUUUGGUUUACUUUCUAUGAUGUUAUCCUAAUCUUAUGACUCAGGUAAUGUAUUUUGUGGGUUAAUCCAGAUGGACUCAGAUAAUGUAUUUUGUGGGUUUCUAGAUUGAAUUUUUUUUAACUUUCAACCUUCAACAAUAAAUAUAUUCAGAAAUAAACUUUAUAAUUUGUUUUGAUUUGUUUUAUAUAAAAAAUUAUUUUACUAGAAUAACAAAAAAAAUUUACAUGUUUAAAUAAAUUUUAAUUUAACAUGCAGUAUAGCAUGAGACAAGAAUAGACUAUCUAACUAAUAUCCCUUGAGUACAUAUAUAAAGAAAAGAAAAGGAGAAAGAAGAAAAGUGAAUUUCACUUUGAUACUUAAAGAUUGAAGUUUCCUUUCUUCUAUUUGAAUUUUGAUACGAUAAUUAAUUUCCUUUUAAAUACGUUGGGAUUUUUUUCAAAACACAUGAUUCAGCUUGCAGAUACUCAAGAAAUCUUGUAGUUGCCUAUCAUAAAACCCUUUUUUCAAAACAAACCGAUGUCUCAAAUGCUUCUUUGGGGAUGAAUGACCCUUUUUCCUUUUCUUUUUAAUUAAUAUGGGUGUCCGGGCCAAUUUGUGCGUACCUCGACUAAUCUCAUGGGCCUGAAGUUAACGACCAUGUAAAUUUCCAGUGACCCUUAGGUUUGUGAGACUCGAACUGGUGAUCUCUAGAUAGCAAACCUAGAGCCUGACAAGCUGAGCUACACCUCUUAAUAUUCGAUAGCUACACUUCAAAUUAAUAUUUUUUAGUAUUUUUAAAUUAUUUUGAUAUGCUGAUGUCAAAAAUAAUUUUUAAAAAUAAAAAUAUAUAUUAUUUUAAAGUAAAGAAAAAAAAUAUAAAAAAUUCAAAUUUUGUUAAAAGUGUUUUUAAAAUAUAAAAACAAAAAUGGAGUUAUGAAUUAUUUACAAAAAAAAGAGAGGCUGUUAUAAUGAUAUAACACAUGAGCUGGAUACCCAAUAAUUGUUGCUUAAUUGACAGUGUCCGAGAAAAUCAAAGGACGGACAAAUUGUCAGACCAUGAUCUUGAAGAAUAUUCGAUACAUUUAUAGCUCGGAGAUUAAAAAAAAAAUAAAAAUUGUUUAUCAGGGGUGUUUAUUUUCUGGAAAGUCACUUUCUAAAUUUUUUUGACUUUGUUUGCUAUUAGAAAAGUUGAUUAAUGGAAAAUAUUUUCCGGUCAACAGAAAAUAUUUUCCAGUAAAAUUUAACUUGAUUUCUAGGAAAGUGUUUUUCUUUUAUUUUGAGCAAAAAACACUUUCUGAAAGUUGUGAAAAAUUUAAAAAUACCAUAUUAUUUAAUUUAAUCUUAAAUUUUUAAUUUCUAUGUAUAUUUUAUUUUAAAUAUUUAUUUUUAAUUUUCCAAUUUUAUAUUGAAUUUUAAUUCAAGCACGCAGCAUGGAUCAACAUCAUGUUGUCGUAUAAUUGGACGCCCCCACCGCACCGCUGGUGUUAGGUACUGGUUCUGGACUCUGUGUCGGAUGUCAGCUCCAUUGUUAAUUCUCUCUUUCAAUUUUGAUCAACUUGUACGGCAAUAGUGCACUCCAUCUCCAUGGCCUCAAACCAUGGGAUAUUUUUUUAAGCUUCGAUUUAAUGUGUCGGUGAAUAAAUAUUGGGUUCUUUUUGCUAGCCAUUAUUGCACCGUCCACUGCAAAAUACAAGUUUGCUUCUUCGAUAAUUUCAAGGUUUAUUUUCUUCUUCGUUAGAUCUUCCCUUUAAGCAUGUUGAAGAGGGUUUUGUUUGGGUUUUUCGUGUAGAUAUCACAAUCUUUAUAUAUAUAUAUAAUUUUAAUAACAUAAAUUAUUCAUUCUAAAUUGUGUAAAAUUAUGCAUAAUUAUAUUUGAGUGAAAAAUCGACUUAAGAAAUUAUAUAGAUGAACAAUUUAUAGUUAUCAAAUUAAUAUGAAAUUUAGCAUGCAUAAUAUGUGAGAAGAUGAUGAAAAGUCUAAUUUCAUCAAAGUAAAAAUACAUAAAAAGUAAUUAUAAAUGGAUGUUUGGAAACGCUGUUGUAACCGUGUUUUUAAAAAAAUUAAAAUUUUUUAUGUUAAAAAUUAUUUUUUUAUAUGUUUUGAAUCGUUUUAAUGCGUUAAUCUCAAAAAUAAUUUUUAAAAAAUAAAAAAAUAUAUUUUAAUGCAUUUCGGUAUAAAAAAUACUUUGAAGAGCAACCACAACUAUACUCUCAAAUAGACAAUUAAAAAUAACAACAUGUAUGAGUUACAUGUAUUGUUGUACUUUUUGAAUUUAUUUUAUAAUUUUAUGUGUAUUGUUAAGUCUAACCUUAAAUUAAAUUGUAUGAGGAAAAAAUAGAUAGUUGAAUUAUGAGUAAUCUCUCUAACAAUUUGAAAUAUUAAAAAGAGAUUUUGUUUUCAUUAUAAAAAGAAAAUCUCUCCAUUAUUAUUAUUUUUAUAUCAGAAGGAAACUCACGAUUUUUAAUAAUAAAAACUUUAAAAAUAUUUAUUUUCUAAACAGAUUAUAUAUAUUCCUUAUUAUUUCCAUGCAUUUAAAAAAAUCAUAAAACAAUUUUAACAUUCUUAAAGUUUGGAUGUUACACAUCUUUACACAAAAAAGUGUAAAAAGCCUCCAUCAAGGAUUUUGAAGAGUAAAAUAUUAUUUUGAUUUGUGUAGUCAUAAUAAAUUGUAAGUUAUUUAUUUACUGACAUGUAAAACAAUUCAAUUUCAAUGUCGAUAAAUUUUCUAAGAGUUUAAAAGGUAUUUUUAAUCAAUUUCAUGCUUUCGUUUAUAAAUAUAUGUUAUUUUUCAUUGAUAUUAGAAUUGGAUUAUUUUUUUUGUUCAUAUAAAUAUUUAUGACGUAUUUUGGAUGUGCUAAAUUGAGAAUUUAGCUUAAACUUAAUUUUUAUGUUAAUCCUGAUUUUUCUUACAUAAUUAUUUGAUAAAAUUUGUAUGGUUAGAAAUUACAUCUUAUUAUAUUUUCAAUGAUCUAAAAUUUGACUUAAUUAAAGUUUUAUAUUGAAAUUAAUGGGUUUUUUUUUUUUAAAAAAAGAAAUAACAUUGUAUAAGUUGAAAUUAGGAAUCUCAAUUAAUUUGGGAUUAAUUUUAUUUUCGAAAAACAAAUCAAUAUAUAUAUAUAAAUUGACACCACCAAUAAACUCCUCCUACCGAGACAGUUCGAAUAGAGAUGUUUAAACAAGAACGGACACUAGGAAGGUAGCAAGUGGUGUCCACACACCACCAAAGAGACUAUGGAUCGCACAUUAGUUGCAUGCAAUCUAGUGCAACCAACAUUAUAGUAAUCUAGUUCUAUCAACCAAUAACAUUGUUGGAAGCGUGAUUGUUCGCGCAGAAGCUCAUGGUAAUAUUAUGAAUCCUCAAAUGAUAAUGUGACACAUGUUAGUUUGUUUUCUUUAGAAGAAAUCAAAGAUCAUUUGUGGUAAGAGAAGCGUGAUGGAUCUUACAAUGAUCUUUGGGUGUUGGUUUUCAACCAAAAUUUUUCCGGUAACCUAUAAAAAAAUAUUUGUAAUUUUUAAUAAUUUUUAUGGAUACAUAAAAUUAGUUUUUAAACUUAAAAGUUUUUUUUCUUAAUGAUACUCUCGAGGGUAUAGAAAAAUGGUAUAUAAUCUAAAAUAGUAAAAGUUUAUAUAAUUUUUAUGGUACUUAUUUGUAUUUGUGACUACUAUUUGAUAAAUACUUGAUAUCUAAAAUAAUUAUUGCAUCUUUCUUAUUUUUAAAAUGUAUAUUUAAGAUAUUUUAGAAAUUAAAUAAAUUGUAGCAUGAUAUACUCUCAUAUAAUAUAGUAUUGUUCAUCUCUUAAUCAUCUUAAAUGUGCGCUAUUUGAAUAUAGUUAUUGAUGAUCUCAAAACAAAUUGUCGUUAACCUUAAUAUGGAUGAGAAACUUGAUGUGAUAACUGUUAGUUUAAUAAGUCAUGUAGUCAAUCGAUUGGUUAUAUAUAACAUUAUUAUAUUUAUAUAAAUACAUUUUUAUAUUAAUAAAGGCGUGAUUUAUUUAUAACAUUUAUAUAAUAUUAGAUUAAUGAAUCUAGAGUAAAGAUAAAGUUCAUGGACAAAAAUAUUUUGCAAAUAAAAUUAUAAAAUUGUUAUAAUUAUGGAAUUUAUAUUGCAUCAAAACAUUGUUUUUAAAAUGUUACUAGUUGAUACUCUCUUAAAUAUUAGACAUUCAUUAUAGAUGUAAAGACUAUUAUAUAUUAUGUUAUUUCAUUUAUGAAAGAAAACAAUUGUUCUUAUAAGUUGAGGUAUAAGAGAUACCUAAAAAUAAUAUGUAGGUGCUUGUCAUAAGACAUGUACACUGAACUGACCCGCAUAAAAAUUUCAUAUGGAGAGAUCAUAUAUGUUUGUAGAAAGGCUUAUGUGAUGGUUAUAUAAGUAAUCUUUAUACUUGAGAUCACUAAAUUAUCUUAUACAAAGAAUUUUUUCAUCAUGGAUAACUUCAGCUAUCUUGUUACGGUAUAACCGGAGAUGGGUGUUUGGACAUUUUAGUCUAGUAUACUUGAUGAAGUCUGGCACUCUGAAUUUUUUCAGCACCACAAUGUUUGGCACUAAACACACUUCAGCUGCUUGUACAGGGUCAAACAAAUCAUUUUCUUCAACUGCUCUUAAUCUCUUUUCUAGAGUAAUCCAUUUAUCAUAGUUUAUGAGACCAUUAGAUCUAUCAUCAGAGGGUCCUUCAACUGUCAAAUCCAUAAUAACUAGAUGAGCUAGCUAGACAGGGGAAAUGAGGAUAAAAUACUGCUCAGUUUCUUAACUUACCCCAAAGUUUUGAGAUAUAUGAGGGACAUAAGCUGCUAGUGCUUUCAUAAAGGCUAUGCAGAUGUUCCCUCCUCACUCUUGGACUUUAAGAGUUGCUCGAGUAGAUUGGUCAUUCGAGCAACUUCACUCUUUACAGUUUCUAGCUCUCUCUGAUAAUGUGAUUCCAGGUGAGUCAUUUCUUUGUUUUCUAUCCUUUCUCUUAGUCGGGUGCAAUAGAUCCUAGGUGAGAGACCUAUGUUUCACAACCUGUAGUGCAUAUGACAAUUUAUAAACGAAUGCAUGAUUAUGAUGCAUAUGUCUGUAUAUUGGAUAUGUAUUUAGCAUUUCCUAGAAUGAUUGAUAGCCAUCACUUUGUUUGCAUAACAUGUAUGAAUUCUUUUGUCACAUUUCUAUCAGGAAUAAUUCUUCUCAAGUUAUUGCUUCGAUAAAACUUAAAUCACACUCACUAAAAGACAAAUUUUACUUAAAAGGUGGGUCAAGACCCUUUCAUUAAUAUUGAAAAGUUUAUUACAUUGUUUUGGAAAAGGAAAUACAAGAAAAAAAAGAGGUACAUCAAUCUUUCUCUUUAACGAUUUUUUUUAGCCAAAGAUAGGAAAGCAAAGCCAUGAUUCUCAAUUUUUCCUAGAAAAGCAUCAUUCUCAGCUAGGCUUUGCCGGUAGCAAAAAAUAUCUCCUCCCACCUUUUGAGCAUUAGCCCUAACAAUUUGGGCAUGUCCGACAGCUUCAUCUAUUUGCUCGUCCAUCUUGGUCAUCUUUUUUAUGAGCAACAUGAUGCUUCUGUUUAGCAUGCAUAAUAUGUGAGAAGAUGACGAAAAUUCUAAUUUCAUCAAAGUAAAAAUACAUAAAAAGUAAUUAUAAAUGCGUGUUUGGAAACGUCGUUGUAACCGUUUUUUCAAAAAAAUUAAAAAUGUUUUUGUUAAAAAUUAUUUUUUAUAUAUAUGUUUUGAAUCGUUUUGAUGCGCUAAUCUCAAAAAUAAUUUUAAAAAAAUAAAAAAACAUCAUUUUGAUGCAUUUCGGCACAAAAAACACUUUGAAAAGCAACAACAACCACACUCCCAAACAGGCAAUUAAAAGUAACAACAUGUAUGAGUUACAUGUAUUGUUGUACUUUUUGGAUUUAUUUUAUAAUUUUAUGUUUAUUGUUAAGUCUAACCUUAAAUUAAAUUGUAUGAGGAAAAAAAACGAAGAAAAAUUAGAGAGUUGAAUUAUGAGUAAUCUCUCUAACAAUUUGACAUAUUAAGAAGAGAUUUUGUCUUCAUCAUAAAAAGAAAAUCUCUCCAUUAAUAUUAUUAUUUUCAUAUCAGAAGGAAACUCAACUUCACGAUUUUUAAUAAUAAAAACUUUAAAAAUAUUUAUUUUCUAAAUAGAUUAUUUAUAUAAAAAAAAUUCCUUAUUAUUUCCAUGCAUUUAAAAAAAUCAUAAAACAAUUUUAACAUUCAUAAAGUUUGGAUGUUACACAUCUUCACAUUCAAUUUCAAUUUCAAUCUCAAUUUCAAUCUCGAUAAAUUUCUAAGAGUUUGAAAGGUAUUUUUAAUCAAUUUCAUGAUUUCGCUUAUAAAUAUAUGUUAUUUUUCAUUGAUAUUAGAAUUGGUUUAAUAUCAGCACCACAAUGUUUGGCACUAAACACACUUCAGCUGCUUGUACAGGGUCAAACAAAUCAUUUUCUUCAACUGCUCUUAAUCUCUUUUCUAGAGUAAUCCAUUUAUCAUAUUUCAUGAGACCAUUAGAUCUAUCAUCAGAGGGUCCUUCAACUGUCAAAUCCACAAUAACUAGAGUUUGAGCUAGCUAGACAAGGGAAAUGAGGAUAAAAUACUGCUCAGUUUCUUAACUUGCCCCAAAGUUCUGACAUGUAUGAGGGACAUAAGCUGCUAGUGCUUCCAUAAAGGCUAUGCAUAUGUUCCCUCCUCACUCUUGGACUUUAAGAGUUGCUCGAGUAGAUUGCUCAUUCAAGCAACUUCACUCUUUACAUUUUCUAGCUCUCCAUUAAUUCUCUUAAUGUUGCUUCUGUUUAAGGCAUUGUUAAUUGCGCUGAUUUGGUCUUUAUGCUUUUCCAGUGCUAUUAACUUCUCAUUUAAGUGCUUUAUCUUUUCUUGUUUUUUAUCGAGCUUCACUCUCAACACCUUGAUUUCAUUUUUCUUUGUCACUAGAUCUAUUUUAACAACCUCGACUUUCUUCCUUUUUGCCUUCAACCCUUGCUACCUUUUAUGCUUUGGGUUUUCCAUCAUCAUAUAUUUCGUUCAAUUUCUUAAUUAUGGCUACCAACCUUUCUUGAACCUAUGCAAGUUUAUAUUAAUAAUAUUCAACGCUUCCUUGACAUUUAAUAAAGUCAAACCUUAAUGCUUCAAGUUUGGAGUUGUUUUGCAUCUAGUUUAUACCCAGUUCUCCUUUCUCUUUCUUAGACUCUUCCCUUGCAGCCUUCUUUUUGCUUAAUUGUAACUCUAAUAUUGUUAUUCUUGUAUCUUUAGAUUGAACUUGCUCAUCUAGAAAUGCCCUUCUUUUGUUUACUUCCAGCACUAUUAUUUCUAAAGUUGUCUUAUCUCUCUUGCUUUUGCUUAACUGUAUUUCGAGCUUCUCUACUUUCUCUUUUAGCUCUUUCUCAUUGUUGACCUUUUUUAUUUUAAUUAGCUCUUCUAAAACUAGUGAAGAUCUAUCCUCAAAAUGUGGUGCCUUAGGAAUAGUAGUCAAGACCAUAUAUCUCCAUCUUGUACACUCUUGGCUUAUGUUAGGGUCCCUUAAACUUUCAGACUCCUAUAUGAUCAGAACCAAGUGCUUCCAAUCUUGUUUGACAAUCUCCAGGACUUCUUGUACGACCAGAUCUUUGAAUAACCCAGAAAAUUAGGCAAGUCCAAUAAUUCUCGGGAUGUAUUGUAUACCCCAUAGUUGGUUUAUCACAAGAGCUAGAGUAUAACUUAUAUAACCUAUAACCCCAACUAAAAGUACCUAGUCUCUUUGCCAACAACUUUUCAAGACAUCUACUGCUAUGACCCAUGGGGCUUUCCAAUUGAAAUUGCAAUUAGGCAACUCUUGUCCAAGCUUCCACAUUCUUUUUCUUCCACCAACUUUAAAGGCCUUUGGUUAAACCACCAAAAAUUAUUGAGGACCAAUUUAUUUGUUUCAAUGACUGAUCAUUCAUAAGUAUAAUAGUUGUGUGCAACAUCUCAUUGCCCUUUUUUCCAAUUCUUCUACAAUGGUUGACAAUUAGGAUGGUUUUGGCCAACAUAACAACAAUAGGGUUAAUCUGGGUGUUCUUAUACUCUACAAACAUAGCGACAAUUUCUAAACUUGUUACACUUGUUAAGCUUGGAAACAACACAAAAUCAAAUAUGCCUAAAGCAAUCAAUUUGUUUUUUUUUUCUAUUAUUGAUCCAUGUUCUGACUUUUUCCUCUUUAAAUCAGCUUCUAACAGUUUCCACUACAGACCACUAGCAUUCUUCUCUAAGAAUUUAGUCAGAUUAGGAACUUUGAGCAGUUUUGACAACUCUAUAAUCACUUUGUCAUCUUUCAAAGGGAAAGAAACCUUAUACAGAUGGUCAAGAAACUCUAUCAACAUUCCAUACUCUUCCAUAGUAGGACAUAGAUCUAUAUUCUUGAAAGAGAAACACCUAUAAUCGGGAUCCCAAAAGCGAACAAGAGCUCUAACUAUUGGGUUCAAUAUUUCUACCUUCAUAAUUUUUAUUAGUCGCCGACAUUUCCUAAAAAAUACAACCUCAUCAAUAUUUUGAACAUGAACCAUUAAUUUCUUCACCUCAUUUGUAGUGUAAUUCAGGUUCUUGAUCGGUGAUAAUUUUCUUGCAUUACAUCUAUGGUAGUUACCUUUUGACAAUUGUAACAAUUCAAAAUUUUGCCAUAUUCUACUGUGGUAAUUUUAGCAGUUAUUUCGUUCUCAUUCAAUUUUUGCUUUGUUAUCAAAUAAGAUGUUGAAACCUUUCAAGAAUAUUUAAAGGGUAUUUUUUUAUAAUUUUAGCAAGCGUAUAUUUUUUUAUUACAUUUUCAUUGGUUUUUUUUAUAAUCAUAUUAUUAAAUUAACCGAGUUUAUUGAACUCAUUUGAAUCAAUAACCUAAUUUCCAUAAAAAAGAAUUUGCUUUCUUAAAAACAUUAUCAAUAUUUGGGUAUUUUUUUUUAUGUUAAAAAAAAUUGACCUAACCCAGUACAUGAUGCGGGACACAUAUUUAGUUUUUCUAAUAAGGGAAAGGAAAAGAAUAUCCAAUAAGCAGAGGAAGGAGUUACGAAGCCAAGAUCUUAGAAGGCGUUUGGUAUUACGACCAUAACAUUAUUUACCCAAAAUUUAAUUUUUUUUAAUUCUUUUUUUAGUAUUUUUGGAUCGUUUUGAUGUGAUGAUGUUAAAAAUAAUUGUUUUUUUAAAAAAUAAUAUUUUGAUGCUUUUUUAGAUAAAAAAAAAACAAUCGCUAACGCAAUGCCAAAUAAACUCUUAAUAUAAGAUAAGGAGCUUCGAUCUUGGUAAAUCCUCAAAGUCAAGGUCUUUUUUUCAAGGCGAUAUCUAUAAAAAUGAGUAUAUGUGCUCCUCACCUUACUGGGUGUUUCUGAUAAUUCCAAUCAAGCCAUUAAAAUAGGUUAUUUGAAAAUGAAGAAGAAUAAAAGACAGAGAUUUAUAACCUAAACUUAACUCAAGGUGAACAUUAACUAUUCAUAUAUAAUUUAAGGGGAUGGACCUAGGUCAAGUUAUGGCUUAAAAUCUCUUGGAGCUAUCCUUCAUGAAUCCUUGUUUAGAGAUAGACUUUAACUAGAAAAAAAAAAAAGAACUUGUCAAUAUAAAGGAAUGACUAGAAUUAAUUCCACUAUAUCAAUAGCAAGUAGAAAGGAGUGGCUAAUACUCUAGGGUUCGCCUCUCAAAGUAUUUUUAUCAGCUCCCUCCCCAUCAUCACAUUUAUAUAAGCUAUCUAAUAUCCUUGAAUUGAAAGGUCCAUAGUAAUGAAAAAAGUGACAAAAAGACUUCCACGUCCAAGAAGGAAACAAAGACCAUAGGACAAAAUCUUAGUGGCAUUUUUGCUUUUGCCUUAUUGAAUAUCGGGUCGUACUGAUGAGACAUUGAAGAGAUUAAGUGGGUCUUUGAUGAAUUCAGAAAAAAAAAAUUAAGAGAAGAAUGGGACUUUCUAUGAUCUGGAGUAAUUAGCUUGAACCUUGUAUUUGGCCUUGGUUGCUUCUCAAAAAGUAGUACUUGUUGGAAGUAGAAGGGGUUUAUCUGAUGCUAAAGUUAGUUAAGAUAUGAGAACGAAAUAAUAUACAAGAAGAAGAAGAGAAAAGUAAAAUGAAGUCAUAGAAAAUAUGAAUUUGUGUGUAGCAUGUAUAUUACAUUUGGCGUAGAAUUUAUAUGGCUUUGAACUUUAUGGCCUUCAAUGGCUAAGAGUAGCUCUGGAUUUGUAUACUCUACAAAGACAACGACAACUUCUAAACUUAUUACACUUGUUAAGCUUGGAAACAACACAAGACCAAAUAUGCCUAAAGCAAUCAAUUUGUCUUUUUCUAUCAUUGAUCCAUGUUAUGACCUUUUCCUCUUUAACUCAGCUUCUAACAGUUUCCACUUCAGACCACUAGCAUUCUUCUUUAAGAACUUAGUCAGAUUAGGAACUUUGAGCAGUUUUGACAACUUAAUAACCAUUUUGUCAUCUUUCAAAGGGAAAUAAACCCUAUAUAGAUGGUUAGGAAACUUUAUCAACAUUCCAUAGUAGUAGGAUAUAAAUCUAUAUUCUCAAAAGAGAAACACCUAUAAUCAGGAUCCCAAAAGUGAAUAAGAGCUCUAACUGUCGGGUUCAGUAUUUCUAUCUUUAUAAUUUUUAUUAGUUGCCCACAUUUCCUAAAAGAUGCAACCUCGUCAAUAUUUUAAGCAUGAGCCAUCAAUUUCUUCACCACAUUCCCAAUGCAAUUCAGGUUCAUGAUUAGUAACAAUUUUCUUGCAUCACAUCUAUAGUAGUUUCCUUUUGACAAUUGUAACAAUUCAAAAUUUUGCCAUAUUUUAAUGUAGUAAUUUUAGAAAUUAUCUCGUUCUCAUUCAAUUUUUGUUUUUUUAUCAAAUAAAAUGUUAGACCUUUCAAGAAUAUUUAGAAUGUAUCUUUUUAUAAUAUUGGCAAACGUAAAUUCUUUUUAUUACAUUGUCGUUGAUUUUUUUAUAAUCAUAUUAUUAAAUUAACCGACUUUAUUGAACUCAUUCGAAUCAAUGACCUGAUUUCUAUAUAUAAAAAAAAAUUUGCUUCCUUAAAAACAUCAUUAUUGUUUGGAUAUUUUUAUAUAUAUUAAAAACAAUUGACCCAACCCAGUACGUAACCGAGAUGCCUAAAACAUCAACAUUUUAUCAGCUCCCUCCCCAUCAUCUUAUCUAUAUAAGCUAAUACUCUAAUAUCCUUGAAUUGAAAGGUCCAGUGUAAUGAAAAAAGUGACAAAAAGACUUCCACGUCCAAGAAGGAAACAAAGACCACAGGAUAAAAUCUUAGUGGCAUUUUUGCUUUUGCCUUAUUGAAUAUUGGGUCGUACUAAUGAGACAUUGAAGAGAUUAAUAAGUGGGUCUUUGAUGAAUUCAGAAAAAAAAAUCAAGAGAAGAAUGGACUUUCUAUGAUUAUGUUAUAAGUUGCUGGAGUAAUUAGCUUGAACCUUGUAUUUGGCCUUGGUUGCUUCUCAAAAAGUCAUCCUUGUUGGAAGUGGAAGGGAUUUAUUUGAUGCUAAAGUUAGUUAAGAUAUGAGAAUGAAAUAAUAUACAAGAAGAAGAAGAGAAAAGUAAAAUAAAGUUAUAGAAAAUAUGAAUUUGUAUGUAACCUGUAUAUUACAUUUGGCGUAGUAUUUAUAUGGCUUUGAACUUUAUGGCCUUCCAUGGCUAAGAGUAGCUCUGGAUUUGUAUAGCAUGGAAUGGAUUAGAACUUGUAUGGCAUGAGGGUGAUAUAUUUUUAUUUUUUUGUUAAUUGUGGGUGUUCAGGUCAGUUUACGUGCACCUCGACUAAUCCUUCAAGACCCUGAAGUUAACAAUUAUGUAAGCUUCCAGUGGUCCUGAGAUUUAUGGUACUCGAACUGGUGACCUUUAAAAAACAAAUUCAGAGUCUGAGUAGUUAAAGUACACCUGUUAUUUAUAUAGCCUACAGUUGGCCUAGAACUUGUAUGGCAUGUAUGUUGCCUGGCCUGGCUUUAUAUGGCCAAUAAUGGACUGACCCUCUUACCUAGUGAAUGGUAAUUGAAAGUAUUUAUAUAUUCAGCCCUUGAAUUUUCUUUAUAGAGAAGAAAACGUACUCAUCAUAAUGGAGAAGUUAGCGCUCACGAUAAGUUAUGGAGUUGGCAAUCCAUCAAAGGAAAAAAAUAGUGUGUAUCCAAUACUUUUUACAUAGUAAAACAUCAUUUGUUGUUAUGUCUUGUCAUGAAAAAUAUAAAUGAUGGUUAGUGUUAUUAGCAUAGAAAAUUAUGUCUUGUCUAAACAAAAGAAGUUGAAGUGGUGGUGGUCGAGCCAAGAUUCAAAACUCCUGCUGGCCCAGUUGACAUGGUAAGAUGGAUAGGAAAGGUCGAGGAGGAAUUUCCUUUUGUGAAAAAUGGAUUAGAUGUGAUUGUAUCAUUUGUUUUUCAAAUGUCAAAACGUUGAAUUCUUCGUUCUUUACUCCAUCGUUUGCAUUAAGAAGAGCACAGUACUCUCUUUCAAAGGUCGCUGAAAGGAUAAAUUUUGUCUGAACCUUGUCAAUGAUUCUAUGUUUUUCAUUACUCCAUGCUUUCUCGGUUAGUCAUCAAAUGGCACAUAGUUUAUAUGUUUAAGUUAGAUCAUUGACAAGGUUCAGAAAAAGGGGUGGAAAAGUGACGAUCAAUAGGUCUCUAGUUAAUAUUAACAAAACAUCCAAGUGGCUUGGGGUUGAUUUGAACAUUUAAUAAUAUUAAUAUAUUAUUUUAAUCAGAUGAGAUUAUCUUGCUCUGUAACUUAGGGCCUGUUUGUUUCUGCGUUUCAAAAGCGUUUUUGAUAAAAUUUAAAAUUUUUUUAUUUUUUAUUAACUUCAAAUUAAUAUGUUUUUAGUGUUUUCAAAUCAUUUUGAUGUGCUGAUGUCAAAAAUGAUUUUUAAAAAAUAAAAAAACAUCAUUGACAUGCAUUUUGGCACGAAAAGCUAUUUGAAAAGCAACCGCAACCACACUGCCAAACAAACCCUUACAGCCCUAUCUGGUAGUAGGUCACGGGUUCAAUUCCUGAGGGUGGCAAUUUUUUCUGUUACAAACAAAGGAUUUUGUUUAAUAAUAAAAUGUGUUUAAAAGAAUUAAAAGUGUCUACAUGCCGGAAUGGUUAAGAAGAAAGUCUAAGAACUUGCUAAACUUUCCCCGCCCAAAUCAUGCUUUCUUUGUGUUCAUUCUUCGGUUUUUCUGUAAAAUUUAAUUUUAUUUAUUUCUCAUAUUUUUUAAUAAUUUUUUUUUAUCUUUCAAUUUUUUUUUUAAUUUCAUCUUUUAACUUUUUAAUAUUUUAUUUACUUUGGUUUUCAUAUAAUUAAAUAAAAAAUAUUUUACAAACAAAAUUAUUAAACUCAAAUGAGUCAAUGACUCAGGUCAUAAGUUUGACGGAUUAAACUGUGAAGUUUGGGUUUGUCUAAUAUAUUGUUAUUUUAAUAUUGUUUUUAAAAAUAAUAUCAUCUUGAAUUUUUUUUAAAGCAUUUGAUUUAUUUUGAAUUGGUCUUCAUAAUAUGUUUCGGUUUAGUUUUUGUCGGAUUAAUUUAUUUUGAUUUGUUUUUUAUAAGGUUAUCAUAAUCUCAUGACCCGGUUCGCGAGUUUAACAUAUUAACCUAGGUUAACCCAAAUUGAUUUAAUAUGUCGUCGUCUCAAUAUUUUCUUUUUAGAAAAAUGUCACCUUGAAUUAUUUUUUUUUAAAUUUAGACCAAAGUUUUAUUAGACAUCCAGGAUUCCUUUGAAUCCAAGUGCUUGGGUUUUUUUUGUUUUUUUUUAUAUAAAAGAAAUCAGUCCAACCCGUAAUAUAGCACGAGAAAGUAACCUAGUUUUAACAUUAUGGAGGUUUAGUUGUUAGUGAAUAUGUCAUGUAGCCAAUUAAUUGGUUACAUACAGUAUUGAUUUUAUUCAUGUAAAACAUAUUUAUUAUUAAUAAAGUUUUUUUUUAUCUUUAAUAUUCAAUUAUAUUUGAUUAAUGAAUUUGAUAUUUAAUUAAUGAAUCUAGAGUAAAGAUAAAGUUCAUGGAAUAAAAACGUUUUAUAUAAGAAAUUAUAAAGUUGUAAUUUUGAGAUUUCUAUUGUAUCGAAGUAUUGUUCCUAAAUGUUUCUAAUCAAUGUUCUAUUAAGAUUGAACAUUAAUUAGAACUGUUGAAAUUGAUGCAAUGUUCCUUAAUUUAUUAAAAGAAGCAAUUUCUUUCAUAAACUGAGGUGUAAGAAAUAAUUGAUCAUAUGUCAAUGGAAAGGCUCACGUGAUAGUAGUGUAAGUGAUCUUUAGACUUCAUAUCACUAAGUUAUCUUAUAUAAGGAGUGUUAUGUUUUGAUCCUGACCACUAGGGGUGUUCAAAUAACCGAUUAACAGAGAAAACCAAAGAAAAAUUAACCGAAAAAACUGAACCGAAAUGAAAAACGGAUUAAACCGAUUGUCAAAACCAUAAAUUUUAACAAGUCCGGUUCGGUUUCGGUUUUGAACCAGAAACCGGCACAAACCGAACCGGACCUAUAAAAGCCAAAAGUUAUAAAAAUGUUUGAGGUAUAAAUAGUUAAAUUGUAACCUAACCCUAACAAUUAACAUAACUUUACUGCCUUUCACAAAAAGUCGCCACUUUCUCUAAAUUAAUUCUCAAUCUUCCUUUCCCAGUUUCUCAAUCUUCCUUUCUGGUGGGUUGUUGAAUGAGCUUUCAAUGAGAAGAUCACAUUUUUCAACGUCACUUACACAUCCAAAGAAAAUUGAUGUACAGUGAUCUUUGCCCAUCUUUGUCACUUGUAUCCUUUUCUUAUUCUUUUCUUUCCUCCUUUUCAUUCUUAACUGUACCUCAGACUCCGCUACUUUGAGUUCUUGGUCGAGACUCUUUCUUUCACUCCUGCAACUUGAGGCUCUCCUUUCUAAAGCUGCGAAAGGCACCCCCCAAAACAAAGCCCCACCCUUCUUUACCCCCUUUAAUGAAAGACCCUCGCCCCGCUUCCUAUUCAUUUGUGGGUCGGGACCUGAGGGCUUUUUUUUCUCAAUUUCAAGAAUCUCUCAAUCGAUCUUUCUUGUGGUAAGUAUUCGUGAUAAUGGCUGAGAUCGAUGGAAUUAAUGGCAAUGAAAACCAUGAAGGAGUUGUUCUGGCUGAGAUCGUGAAAAUUUUAAAGCUCGAUUUAAUGUAAACCAAUUUUAAAAAAUUAAAAAAAAAACCCAUAUAUGAUGGGAUUAGGUUUCCCGGUUUUUUGCCAAAAAAACUGGAUUUAACCGAACCGGACCGGUUCGGUUUGAACCGGUUUUCGGUCCGGUUCGGUUAAUAUUUCACAAAAUUAAUGUAAUUCGGUUCGGUUGGUUGUUUUAGUCUAAACCGAACCGAACCGUGAACACCCCUACUGACCACACGUUGUUCAAAUCAAGAGUAACAAAUAGGUAGAUAUUAGGUAUAACAUAAACUAUAUAAAGGUAUUUGAGUAAUCAAGAAAGGAUUCAUCAUCCUAGGUGAAUUAAAAAAAAUAUAUUACAUAUGUUCUCAAAUAGUAUUGAUUAUGAAAUUCUUGGCCUAGGCAGAACGAGUCUUGAAAAGAGUUUCGAAAUCUUAUUCAAAUAACUAAUGACUAUAAUAUUGAAAACUAUCAUGAUUUAACAAACUAGACAUACUCCAUGAUACAAUGUCAAAAUCAAAACAUUAUUGAUAAAUGAAUAAUAAUUAUACUGAAAAACUAGUCACUAAAAUGUUAAGUCAAACUACUUAUGACUUUCUUAAUAUUUGACGGUCAUGACAGGUUGUUAGACAUUGUAUUUGAUCUUCAAAUAUAAAUCAAUCAAUUGUUGAAUUGAUAAUAAAUUAAAUUAUUUAAUUUAUUUAAUCUUAUUUCAUUUAAGGUUAUGAUUUAUAUUUGAGCUAACUUAUUAUGGAACCUAAUAGGUCAAACACAUAAGAAUCAUUGAUCAGAAAUUAAAAUAAGAUGAUUAAUCAAGUGUGACUUGAUUGUAAAUAAGUUUUAGAAAAUAAGGACUAGAAUGUAAUUAAUACAAGAGAUUACAAUUCUAGACCUAGAAACAAUUAAUUAAGGACUUGAUUGAAUAAAUUUCUAAAAUUAGCCUAAAAUAAUAUAUAUGAUAUAAUUUAAGGGGUAAAUUGAUAUUUUUUUCAUUUAUAGGGUUUUUAGGUUUCCCUAUAAAUAAAAAGUUAUGCCUCUUAUUUUCUAUAAGUAUAACACCAUACUGAAACACAUAAAACACAAAAGAAAAAAGGUAGCACUCAAAGGAAUAGCAAUCUCUCUCUCCUAAAAAAGUUAAGGAGAUUUCUCAUUGGUGAUUUGUGUGGAUUACAGUUAGAGGCCGUAUAAUUGAAUGGUUUGUGGUUUGCGACACUUAGCUUUAUAGAAAUUAUUCAAAGCUAAAAAGAACAUUUGAUCUUCAAGUAAUGUUUAUAUAAACCCUAAACAACUCUAGAUCUAUCUAAUAGGAUCUUUGGGACUCCUAAAAAAUUCUAAUCUUAUUUUUUUCGCUGUGUAUAUGCGUUUCGAGAAACCCUAUAAUGGUAUCUGAGCUAUCGUUAGACAAUUAGGGUUUGUCAUUGUAUGUUUUAGUUAUUAUUAGUGUUAAUUGUGAAUUAAUUCUGUGUGCAAAUUGAUUUUUUCUCAAAAGUAAUUUUCUCUCAUUGUUCUUUAGAAAAAAAAGAUUUUUUAGGCUACUAUUGCAGCUAAAUCUAGCUGCAAUUUUUUAACCCAGCUAAAACCCACCAUUGAAAUUUAAAAAACAAAUGGUUUUAAGUGGCUGCAAUAGCCACCGCCAAAAGCUAGCAUAAUUGGAGCGCCUGGUUGUGCUAUGCACACAGCUAGUCGCUGCUAGUAGCAGCGUUAGGUACAGCCAUGGACAUUGCACACAGCGCAAGGGCUGUUGCCCUACGCUAACACCAGGUGCGACGAUAGCACUGUUGUCGUUGCUCAAUGUUGAUGCCAGUGUGGGCAACCCACAUCGACAUCAGCACCAAGAAAAAGAAGAUAAGGGAAGAAUUAUGAUUCUACCUCUAAACUUUGUGUAAGGUUCUUCGAGGGGUAGAAUUAUAAUUAUAUCCAUGUAACUUAUAUCUAACUACAUUUUGUAUAGGAUUUAAUUAGAAUGUUUAAUUAAAUAAUAUUUAGAAAAAUGACUUUUGUAAUGUAAAAGGAGUUUUUAAUGUAAAAUAUUUUUAUUUAAUUGAUCCAAAAAUAGUUUAGGCUAUUAAUAAGAAUUUUAAUAUGAUUAAUCUUUUUAUUAAAUUUUGAAAAAUAGUUUUUUAAUGAAAACUUAUAUUAGAUAAAAAUUUAUUAUAUUUCAAGAAUUAUCAAAUUAGAGUUGAAUUUGAUAUUUUUAAGUGUUAUAAAUAUUAUUUUAAAGCCAACAAUUAGAAUUUAAGCAUGCUAUAGUUUUAUUAUACAUAUUAAUAUGUUCUUAUGUAUGAUGGAUGAUUAUGAAAAUUUAAAGAUCAAUGUGAUUGUGUUUUUAUAGUUGAAUGGUUGUAAUAUUAAAUAGGAUCUACAUGUCUUGCCUUUUCUCUAUUUUUCUUAUAGAGUUGUAAAAACUUUUCUCAUCUAAUUUUCCUUGAAUGUAACUCGAUAUUUCUUAAUUAAUUAUGUAAAUAUUAUAUAAUUUAUAAAUAUAAAAAUUUAGAUAGGGGAAUAAUUUUAUAAUCCAAGACGAAGAAAAGAAUAAAGGUGAAGGAUACAACCAUGGUUCUUGCAAAGGACUUAUGAAGAUGUGUAGCAACUACCUAGAUUUUGACCGCAUAAUUCCCUUCGAUGGCUCGAGGAAAUUAGUUUAGAUAUAUCCAUAAUCAUCUAAAUAGAAUGACAUGCUAGGGGUGUAUGUUUAUAUAUAAUUGUUAUAUAUGAUAUAUCACUAAUGCAAUGGAAUGAGAUUUAAUUAAAAUAAUAAAUCCCUAAAUCCCUCAUUUAAGUACAUGUUGAGAACAUGAUUUUUUACCUUCUAAUUUUAUAGGCAUAAAAUAAGAAUUUUAUUCAUGGAUAACUUAUUGAGCUACUCAAGGUUAUACUGUUAAUCGAAUAUGUUUAAUGAUAUAAAAUUGGAUGCAUUACUUAUGAUCAUAUAGAAUUAGAGGUAAUAGUUAGGUGAAACAUAUGUAAUGUCUUUAGAUAAAGAGUUGUCACCUACUUGAUCUAAAAAUCACAUAAAGUUGUAAUUGAUAAGUUAUUUUAUCUAUUUAAUUUAAUUUAUUUUGAUUUGUUGAGUUACUUAAGGUCAUAUAAAUUAAACGAGAUCCUAGCCCACUAGGAGAUCUAAGCGGGAUUUCCCGAAGUAAUAGGGAGUAAUAUUAAUCUGUAAGAAAAUAGUAGGAGACCAAGUUAAGAUUAGAGAUCUUAUCUGAAUUUGGUUACAAAUAUUUAUGCAUGAAAUCAAUACUCGUUAUCUUUACAUAAAUAGGUUAAUAGAUUACCAUGAGUAAAAAUAAAUAUAUCCCUACAUAGUAUACAUGAUGCUAAUAAAUUAAAUAAACCAAACUUCUUGGACUGGUACCAACAUAUGAGAAUUGUUCAAGGUUAUAUAUGCUUGAAAAUCUGAUUUCUUAUAUCCUUAAUAAGGAUGUUGAUAACAAAGUUAUGACAGAAUAUCAAUAUCAUAUUGAUUAUGAUGAGUAUGCUACAUGUGUGAUGUUAGCUAGCAUGUCACUCAAACUUUAAACACAUCAUGAGAAAAUGGAUGCAUGUAUAAUAAUUAUGCAUCUCUAAGAGUUGUUUGAUGCAGCUAGAUCAUGGUUGUUAAAAUCGUGAUUCAAGUCGUAAAAUCGUAUGUUUUUACGAGUUAAUAUAGACUUUACGUGCUAAAUCGUUCAUAAAAAUCGGAAAUGAGUAAAAUCGCAUAAAAAACAGUUAAAAUCGUUAAAAUCGGGUGAAAUCGCCUAAAAUCGCGAUUUCACCACCGAUUGAACGAGUUUGCCCGCAGGAGAACAAAAUUCAGUGUAGUUGCCACGUGUCACCCGCCUAUUGGCUUGAACAUAUCGAAGGCAAAGUAACUAUGAGUCUGUGACUCACCGAAUUAGUCUUCUCUCUUGACAUUCACAUUUCACAAUUCAGAAUUUCAGACAUUCAUUAAUUCACGAAAUCCCUAAAUUGAAAAUCCCAAAUUUAACAACCAACAGUCUUCUCUCUUCAGUCUUCUCUUCACCGAAUCAGUCUUCUCUCUUCAGUCUUCUCUUAAUCUCUUGCAGUCUUCCUCUCAGCCAACAAUCAACCACCGUCACAGCCCUCGCUCGUCCCUCAUCUACAUUAUUUCCAUCAUCGCCGACGUUCUUUCCACCGGCCACUGUGAGAAUCACAGUCCACACAACAACAACGGUCAACGACGUCUCUCCAGUCUUCACGAGGUAAGUUACAGUGUCCUUUUAUCUUGUUUUUGUAGUCUUCAAGUGGCUUAUUUUUUCGUCCCUGUCCGUUUAUUAAUCUCAUCACUGAUGUUAAUGUUAGUUUGAUUGAAUUCAGAUGCUCCAACUUUGACUGCAAACAUUCACUGUGAGUCUUGUUGCUUAGUCCGUUACUCUGUUUCUCUUCUCAGCGUCGGUGCUCACUGCUCAGAACAAAGGUAAGCUUCUUAGUUUCUUACCAUUCCGUUUCUUUACAGUUUAAUGAUGUCUAAUCUGUUAUUGAGACAUGUUAAUAUUCAAGUGUCCAUCAAUUUGAGAGUAUGCCUGCGAAUUUUGGAUUGAAAUAUAACCGGUGACAGUGUGUGUGUGUGUGACAGUAUGUGUGUGUGACAGUGUCUAAAUGGAGAGACUCUGUUUUUUCUUACCUUGAAUUUGGAAUUUAGAGUGAUGAUUGAUGAUGUUGCUGCUGAGUUGUGAUAAUGGAUUUAUUGUAAUUUAUUUUAGAGUGCUGCUGCUGCUGAGUUGUGAAUGAGUUGUGAAUUGUGAUGAAUGGAUUUAUUAUAAUUUAGAAUGAUGCUGCUGCUGUUGAGUUGUGAUGCAUGGAUUUAUUGUCAUUUUACCGUGAUUUGGGUUGUAACUUGUGAUGAAUGGAUUUGGGUUGUAAAUUGUAAUUUAAAGUGCUGAUUGACUGUUUUUAUGCUGCCUUUGCUGAGUAGUAAAGGGUUGUAACUUGUAAGUUUGUAACCUGUAAUGGAUAAUAAUAUAGAAGAUGGGUUGUAGUGUGUAUUAAAAUCAAGUUUGUAACCUGUUAUAAAAUGUUUGGAUUGAUUACAGGGCUGAUUUGAAUUGAUUCUUGAAUUGUUGAACUUAUGGCAUCUAGAAAAAAUGCUUCUGGUAAUAGGCUUGAUGUUGGAUGGCAGCAUGGGAUAGAUGUUGAUAAAAAUUCUAGAAAAGUAUUGUGCAAGUAUUGUCAAAAAAUUAUUAGUGGAGGUAUAUUUCGUUUCAAACAACAUUUGGCUUGCACUCGUAAGGAUGUUGAGUCAUGUCACCAAGUGCCAGAAAAUGUUAAGCAGAUGAUUUUAGGUGUUUUGGUGAAAAAUCUAGAGGCAACUGAAAAGAAAAGAAAGGCCCUUCAAUAUAGUGGAAAUGAUGUUGAUGAUGAUGAAAUAAAAGAAAUUAGCUCCAAGGACAAAGGAAAGAGAGUAGCUAGUGGGAGUGGAAGUACACAAACAACUCUAAAUCAAUUGCUAAAAAAAGAUAUUAGAGAAGAAGCAUGUCGACAAAUUGCUAGGUUUUUCUACACUAGUGCAAUUCUAUUUAAUUGUGUAAAAAACCCUGAGUUUAUUAAAGCACUUGAAAUGGUUGCAAAGCAUGGGCCAGGUUUCAAGCCUCCAUCCUACUAUGAUAUUAGAGAGAAGUAUUUGAAGCAAGAAGUGGAUCAAACAAUGAAAUUGCUUGAGGAGUACAAGCUAGAAUGGAAAAAAACAGGUUGUUCAAUAAUGUCUGAUGGAUGGACAGAUAAAAAAAGACGUUGUAUUUGUAACUUUUUGGUUAAUAGUCCUAAAGGGACAGUUUUUUUUUCAUCGGUGGAUACUUCUAAUAUGUCCAAGACUGCUGAUAAGGUAUUUGAGAUGUUAGAUGCCAUUGUGGAGAGGAUUGGGGAGGAAAAUGUUGUCCAAGUAGUCACCGAUAAUGCUGCAAAUUAUAAGGCAGCGGGACAAUUAUUAAUGAAAAAAAGAAAGAGUUUGUUUUGGACACCAUGUGCUGCCCAUUGUAUUGACUUGAUAUUAGAAGAUUUUGAGAAGAAGUUAGAGGUUCAUCAAGUAACUAUUGCAAAGGGGAGGAGAAUCACCUCAUAUAUUUAUUCAAGAACCAUUCUUAUUUCUAUGCUAAGGCACUUUACGAAAGGAAGGGAUUUGAUUAGGCCUGCUGCCACUCGAUUUGCUACUGCAUAUUUGACUCUAGGAUGUUUGAAUGAUCAUAAAAUACAGCUGAUGACUAUGUUUACUUCCAACCAGUGGAAUUCAUGUAGGUUUGCAAGAAUAGAAGAAGGGAAACGAAUUCAAAAUUGUGUUUUGGACAGCAGAUUUUGGUAUGAUGUUACUAUAUGUAUUAAGGCAGCGUUUCCUCUAAUUAAAGUUCUUCGAUUAGUUGAUUCUGAUGAGAAACCAGCUAUGGGUUUUAUAUAUAAAGCAAUGGAUGAAGCAAAAGAGAAGAUACAAGUGAAUUUUGGUUCUGUGAAAAAAAGGUAUAUAUCUUGCUAAUUUAUAUUUCAAAUGUUGUCAUCUAUUAAUAUGAAUGUUUUUCAAUUGAGAUAUUCCUAUAUUGUAAUGACAUUUUUAUUGUUUUUUUUUAUAUAAUUAUAUACCUGUAUGGAAUAUUGUUGAUGCAAGAUGGGAACUUCAACUCCAUAGACCUUUACAUGCAGCAGCUUAUUAUUUGAAUCCUCAUUAUCAUUAUAAUCCUAAUUUUAAGGUUAAUGCCAACAUUAAAAUUGGAUUAUAUCAAUGCUUAGAAAGGAUGGUGCCUAAUGCAAAUGAAAGGUGCAAAAUUGACUUACAACUUGAAUCAUUCAAGGAUGCAAAAGGGUUGUUUGGCAUUGACGCUGCCAAGACAACAAGAGAUAAAAAAACUCCAGCUCAAUGGUGGGAUUCUUAUGGGGAUGAAUGUCCAGAAUUACAAAGGUUUGCAAUCCGAGUUCUAAGCUUGACUUGUACUUCAUCUGGAUGUGAGCGUAAUUGGAGUGCAUUUGAAAUGGUGAGUUUUUUUUGUUUUUUUAUUUUAAAUAUUGAAAUAUUUGAUAAAAAUCUUAUAAAUUUGAAUUGUUUAUUUAGGUUCAUACAAAACGAAGAAAUCGUUUGCACCAGAAAAAAAUGAAUGACUUGGUAUUUGUAAUGUGCAAUCUGAAAUUGAAUGAUAACCAAGUCAGAAGGCAAGCUGAUGAUUUUGGUAUGGAAGAUGAUCUUUCAUCUGAUGAUGAUUAGAUAACUGAGGGAGAAAAACAUCCAAACUUUGAUUUUCUUGGUACUAUUACCAGUGCAACACGAAGACAAAAUGGUAAUGAGGAUGAAAGUGAUGAAGAAGAAAUUCCUAAUAAUGUUGAAAUGGAGAGUCAUGGUAUUGAAGAUGAUUUGGAUAUUCAAAUUGAUGAUAUUGGUGUUGGUACUAGUAGUAGCACUAAUGUUCAUAAUAUUGGUGUUGGUAUUAGUAGUAGCACUAAUGUUCAUAAUAUUGGUGUUGGUACUAGUAGUGAUACUAAUAAUCCUCUUGAUGCUAAUGAUAUUGAUGAAUGCUUGAGGAAUAAUGAGGAAGAUGAAGGGAAUGAAGCUGAUUUUAGUUUACAUGACACACCAGCAGAUUGUUUAUUUUAAGUUUGUUAAUUAUUUGUUAAUGAAAAGUUAUUUUAAAUUAUGUAUCAGGAUGAGUUUUAUUUGAACCAUGUAUUUUAAGAUGUUUGAACUAUGUAUGAAUUUUUAUUUGAAACAUUAUUUUUAAGGUGCUUGAACUAUGUAUGAAUUUUUAUUUGAAGCAUGAAUUUUUUUUUAAUGUAUUUUAAAAUUCCUUACGAUUUUUUUACGAUUUUACGAUCUGUUUUUACGAUCCGAGUUUGCGUGCGGCUUUCCGUGCCGUGUUAAAAUCGCGAUUUUAACAACCUUGAGCUAGAUAUACUGAGGUAUGAGACCUCUAAGAAAUUGUUUCAUUAUAAGAUGACAAAGGGUUCCCCUAUGAACACCUAUAUGUUGAGGAUGAUUGGUUAUUUUAAAGAAAUUAGGCCAAUUGAGUUUUGUCAUGAACCAUGAGUUAAGCGUCAACUUGGUCUUAUAAUAUAAGCAUAGAAAGCCCACUUGGGGCAUCAAGAAUGACAAUGACACUUGUCAUCAUUAUGGUAAAUAAAGUCACUAUAAGAGGAACUGUAAAAAUUAUCUUAUAAUUAUGAAGACUAAAAUGAUUAUUGAAGCUUAUGCUUCAUGUGUUUUUAUGAUUGAAUAAAGAUAAAGUGGACUUAUGAAUACGCAAUGAAGUAAAUGUUGUUGCAUUAACUUUUCCAAGUGGGAUAAUACUAGAACUUAUAAUUGUUAUUAUGUCCUAGCACUUUUUAGAAACAUUGUAUCCAUUUCUGAAUGAAUUUGAAUUUAUUAUUAAGGGAAAAUAUUAUUCCUUUUAUAAUAAUGAUGUUUAAUAUAGAUUUGGCACUUGUACAAAUGGUUGGUACAUGCCUGAUCUUGAAAUGCUAAGAUUCAAUAUAAAUAGCAAGAAAAAAAAUAUUAGAUAAUCAAUAUCCAUAUUUUUUACGACAUUAUAGACUAAGUCAUACCAAUGAAACAAGAAUCACUAAGUUACGUAAAGAAUGAUAUUUGAUUCUUUUGAUUAGAAAUCAUAUGAAACUUGUAAGCUUAUUUAUUGAUUAAAAUGACCAAGAACACCUUUUACUAAAAAAAAUCUAAAUUUACCAUUUUUGUUGCGUAUAUGCAUUGUUGUAACCCAAAUUUUGACCAAUUUGCUUUUCAAUUUAAUGUUAAGGGGGUUAAAGCCUAAAAUUAAAAGAUUAGGGGUUUGAAUGCAAAAUUUCAAAACUUUAAGGACCAAAUUAAAAAUGGUCAUUCACAGUCCAAAAACAACGCCACUUCAAUCAGGUGUUGUUCUUCGUCUUCAUCUUCAAACACUGAAAGCCCGCCUGCAAAGAAGGGAAGGAAAUUGUGAAACACCAGCAUCCUAGUCCUAUCAAAACACAGAAAAGCAAUCUUUAUCUUCAUGAUGAUCACAACCCGGUGAGAUAAGGAUUGAACAUCGCAUCCAAGUCUUAGCAGAAACUGACUCCCUCAGCCGUGCUUAUUAGGAGGAGAGACGUAGGCUGAGGGAGAGGAAGAUUGAUCCCUAUAAAUACCAAACAAUCAGCAAAGCAAAGAAAAAAAAAGGGAAGAAAAACAGAGAAAAAAAAAGUAGAAAACAGGGAAAGAAAGCAGAGAAAACGAAAAAGGAGGGAAGAAAAACAUAGAAAAAAAGCAAAAAAACAAGGAGAGAAAGCAUAGAAAACAAACAGAAGGAGUAAACAGAGAAGAGUAGAGAGAAAAAAGGAAAAAGCAGAGGGAUGAAAAAAGAGAAAACAGAGGAGAGAACCCAUAACAAAAAACACAAGAACAGAGGGAAGAGAGACUGAAAGGAGGAGGAAGAGGAGAGUAUUCUCCGGCUGGUGUUAGGACCGUUACCUUCAUCUUCAUCUUCGUCUUCGCCAGGUAAAGUCUUCUUCUCCUGCUUUGUUUCAAUAUAACUCUUACAAAACAGUGCAAAGGUAAUUAAUUACCUUCGCACUGUGCAAUGCACGCAUGAGUUGAUUCAUGCGUGCCUGCUGCCCAGCCGAGUCACUAGCUUGGGCCAGUGACCAAGGUGGGCUGACUGGGUUCAGGCCAGCCCAUACUGGUUGGGCUAGACCUAGCCUAAAAACAAAAAAAAAGAGUGGGUCGGGUCUGGGCUUUAGGCCCAGCCAGCCUAAAUUGCAUUUACCUAGGGUGUGUUGGGCAAAACACACCCUUAUGCCUUGACCAUAAUUUUUAUGUCUAUUCUAGCUUGAUAUUUGGUCAAACAAGCCCCUUUUCGAUAUCAGAAAAUUCUAAAAAUAUUUGAGGACCUUUGUUGAUUUAUUUAUAGGCCCCUCUCACUUUGUUUUAUUUUUUUCUUGCGUUUUGUAUUUUUUCUACUACGUGCUCAAUCCGCGAACUAUUAUUAUUAAAUGCAAAUCUGUUGUGCAAUGCUUUUAUUAUUUCCAUCUAACAAGGGCAAAUAGUAAUAAAGGAUAAAAAAAAGAAAAUGACAUAGAAAAAUUCUUCUUCAAAUUCAGUUUUUUUGCAAAAUUAUUCACUGACGCCAGAGUCAGGAAUCAAGGUAGUCAAAAACGCUUUUUUGACACGACACGGAACAUCCAAUAUAAACUCGAAUCGUAAAAUCGUAAAAUCACAAAUAAAAUAUUUUAACUAAAAUCGUAAAAUCACAAGUAAAAUAUUUUAACUAAAUUGCAAGAUCUAGUCAAGUAGUAAAUAAUAAUAUAACACAAUUAAAAUAAAAGUGAAAUAAACAAUACAAAUAUCCAAACACCUUAAAAUACAUAAUUCAAAUAAAAAUUCAUACAUGUCCAUAGAAUUUCAUUAACUAAAAGUUAACAAACCUAAAACAAAAAUUCAACUCAAAUAAACAACAAAUUUAUUUCCCUCAAAUCUCAACUAACUUUAUAGCAUUAUUGGGAUAUCAUAUCAUAUUCCAUUUCAACCAACAGAUUGAUGAUAAAACAAAUAAACAUAUACAACCUGAAAAUAAGAAAAUUCCAGCCUAGUUGCGAAAACUAAGGAAACAAACCACCACGUACUAUAUUUCAAAUUUCCAAACAGUGCUAGGUGAAGUAGAAACCCAAAAGAGAAGUGCCAAGAUACACAAAUCCAAGAGAGUAUAUCAGACAACAUUUAGAUUCUACAAUAUAGAUCCAAAUUCAGAGAGUAAAUUUUCUAAAUAGGCCACUUCCUUCCCAAAAUCAAAUGCAAUUUUCAAUUAUGUUAGUGCUAAUUCCAUCUCAUUGAAUUAUAUUCGUUGCAAAAGACUAAGAUUUGGAGAACAAAGCAAACCAAAAUUGCAAUAAGAGGGAGGUAAUCAAACAUACCUUUUCAGCUGAUCUGAUGCGAGAAGGCUAAAAGAGUGACUACUGACUAGAUCUCAACGGCGAGAGUAGAUAACUCCCUAUCAUACUUUGAAGUUCAUACUAAAGUAAAUUGCGGGUGCUAUGCUGGUAACCAAAUUAUAUUUAUGCUACAUUUGUAAUAGAAGAUCAGGCUUGUACUUACAGGAGCUCUAAAUGCUGGUUGAUGUGCUGCAAUUUCAAACAUACAGCAUCCUGAAACAUCAGAUAGAUGUUAUUGCCAGUGUGGAAGUAAAUUUGAUAAAUUCAAAACCAUGCUUCCAGAUUUCUUACCAAGUGACCAUAUGUCUGAUUUGUAGCCAUAAGGUAUAUCUGCUAGGAGCUCAGGACACAUGUAAUUAGGAGUGCCAACUACCUAAGUGACAUGCAAAGGCAUAGAAAACAGAAAGAUGAAAAGAAGCAUUUUAAGACAAGUAGUUCAAACACCAGCUCUUAGGAUUUUGGAUCUAAACAUACUGGGACCCUAAAUGCUGCCCAAACACUAUCUGAGUUACAGGUAUUAAAUACAUUAAGAAGCUGAGAAAAAAAGUUGUAACAAUUUGAAAUCAGGGGUGUAAUUUCAAUUGACAAGUUAAAACAAAGUAAAUUAGUAAUUUACUGGAGAUGCAAUCAAAUCCAUACUGAAGAAGCAGGGUUUUCUGUGUUGAGUAGCUUUGUAAGUCCAAAGUCAGAGAAGAUUUAAAAUCCAGACUCGAUGAAGAAGAAAAUCAUUUCGACUAGUAUUUCUUUUGGCUUACAUACCAAGGCGGAUGUCAUUUUCCUUUGUAAGGAAUAUGUUGGAACACUGGAAUUCAACGAGUCAAUCAGUGAGUUCAUGUCAUCAGCUGAUCUGAUGCAAGAAGGCUAAAAGUUAACAAACCUAAAACGAUUUGGGGAAAGGGGAAAGGGCAAAGGGGAAAGCCGAAAAUGGGAAGGGUGGAGACGUGGACUUGGAGUGUCAGGCGGGGGAGUCAGCAGUUUAUUUCACGUGAAAUCAUGAAAUCGGACCCGGUUUCAUGUUUUUUACGAGUUGACUCGAUUUUGACCGGGUUUGACCGAUUUUACUGGUUUUUAAAUUUUAAACCCGAUUUUACACGUUUUACACCAUUUGACUCGUAAAAUCGUCCGAUUUUACAAGUCAAAACUCGUUUUUAAUAACCUUGUCAGGAAUAUCGCAUUUUUUUGGGUUUGUGCAAUAUUUACCAAUGUCAGAGAUGGAAAUAUUCAUAUGAAAUGUUCAUUGACGCCAGAAUCAGGAAUAUGAGAGGAAGAAUAAAGAAAAAGGAGAACAUAUUCUUAGCAAUUUUAGACAAAACCAGCAAUGUAGUCUGCCUCAGGUAGGACGCUUAAGGGGUGAUAACAUCUUCCAUUUCGUGUAACCAAUCUCGUACCAUUAGAAUUUAUGUUGACUAGUUAGGGUUCCUAGUGACCAUAAUACUAGGUGGUGACUCCUUGAACUAGAUCGUUUUCCCAAGAACAAGAUGUCAGAGAUCUAUUCUUUUUUCAAUGAAAUUAAAUCUUUAAUCGGUCGCCGCGAUAUCCGGGUGUGACAUGCAUUUCGAGAAAGUGUGAGGUCGUUAAUUAUCUACUAAGAAAGGAGAAUGAGCUUUGCUCAUCGAAGCGCUCCCUGUGGUUCACAAAAAGGAAAAAGAACUCAUCAUUUUAUCGAUGAAAAAUAGAUUAACGGAGCUUGUGGCAUUGCUUUAUCCUUUACUCUCUUCUUAUUAGCGAGUUUAAAAUUUCUUUUUUCAUAUUGAACCACUUGUAGAAUCAAAUUCUAAUAUAUAAGGUCCUAUAUUAGCUACAAAUCUUUGUUGCAUUUAUGCCAAAGAUUUCAUUUCUAUGUGACGACGUCCCAAAAAAUCCAAGUAACUUAUAAACAAGGCUCUUAUGUUAGAUAAUUAGUUAAUUACUUGGUUCUAGUAAUUUGAUCAAUUCUCUCUAGCCAAGUUAGUUUAUAGGUAAUGCCUGGUAAGCCAAGGUGGCUGGUAAGAGGUACCUGCAAAAGAUCCCCUUUGAUGAAUACGGGGACUCUCAGAUGCUUAAGUAAGUACCAAUAUAGAGAGAGAAAGUUCAAUAAUAUUUUAGAGAUAUAAACCCUGAAAAAUAUAUAUACCAACAAAUAUUAAGAGUGAAAAGAUUGUGAACCUAGAGCUUGAAGAAUUCAUAAGGUAAUUAUAAUUCAUGAGUCUUAUUGUUUUUUAUAGAAGAGGGGUUGGAAUGCCAUUUUUUCCUAAUAUCAUUUAAUAAGGGAUAAAUAUGGUAGGCCCUUAAGAGAUUUUUAAACACCUAGGGGUAUAAGGAGGUAGGAUACAAAAACUAGUUGAGCCCAUGGAGGUUGAGCUCUUCCCCUAGGCUAGACCCAACGGGUCCUUCCUUUGGUUGAGCCCAAGAGAGGUGAGUCAUUCCUUUGCCUAAGCCCAAGAAAGUUAGGUCCUUUUCUUGGAUAAGCUCAAAGGAGUUAGGCUUGUCCUUUAGUCGAGCCCAAUGAAGUUAGGCUUGUCCUUUGGAUGGACCCAACUAUAUUAGGUCUAGUAAGUUUUCAAACCCAUGUUGCAUUGGGCUCAGCACAUAGAUGAACCCAAGUGCAUUGGGUCCUUUCCUUGGCUGAGCCCAAUGAAGGUAAGUCAUUCCCUUGGCCAAGUCCAAUGAGGAAGGGUCAUUCCUUUGAUAGUGCCCAAGAGAGAUGGGUUGUUCCCUUGGCUAAAAUGAUGGGAAAAGGAUCUUUCAUUUGACGAAGCCCAAAGAAGUAGGGUCAUCCCUUUGGCCUUGCCCAAGGGAGAUAGGUUGUUCCUUUACCUGAGCCCAAGAGAGGAUGGUCAUUUCAAUGGCCCGAACACAAGGGAGAUGGUGUCAUUCCCUUGGUAGAGCCUAAAGUAUGAGGGUUAUUUCCUUAGUUUUACCUAAAAGAGAAAGAUCAUUCUAUUACACGUGCCAAAAAAAGAUGGGUCAUUUCAUUGCCCAAGCCCAAGCCCAAGUAAGAAGGGUCAUUUCUUUGACCGAGCUCAAGGGAGAUGGGUCAAUGGAGAAAGGUCAUUCUAUUAGCCGUGUCUAAGGGAGAACGAUCAUUCCCUUAGCUAAGCUAAAGGAAUGAGGGUCAUUCAUUUAGUCGUGUCUAAUGGAGAAGGGUUAUUCCCUUGUCCGUGCCCAAAAAAGAUGGGUUGUUCCCUUGGUUAAGCUUAAAAGAGAAAGAUUAUUCCCUUGGUUAAGCCUAAUGAAGGAGGGUCGUCCAUUUGACCAUGUCCAAGGAUGAUGGGAUGUUCUCUUGGCCGAUCCUAAAGGAGAAUGAUCAUUCCCUUAGAUGAUCCUAAAGGAGAAGGAUCAUUCCCUUGGCUGAGUUCAAAGAAGAAUGACCAUUCCUUUGGCCAUGCCCAAGGGAGAAGAGUCAUUCUCAUGUAGAGCCCAAUAGAGAUGUUAGCCGAACCCAAUGGAGAUGUGUCAUUCCCUUGAUCGUGCCCAAAAAAGAUGGGUUGUUUCCUUUACUAAGCCUAAGAGAGAAGGAUCAUUCCCUUAGCUUAGCCCAAGGGAGAAGGGUCAUUACUUUGGUCAUACCCAAAUAAGAUGACAUCAUUUCCUUAGCAAAGCCCAAGAGAUGUGGGUUAUUCUAUUGGUCAUGCCCAAGAAAGAUGGGUUGUUCCCUUGGCCAAGUCUAAAUAAGGAGGGGCAUUCCCUUAGUCAUGCUCAAUGAAGAAGGGGCAUUUCCUUUGUCAUUCUCAGGAAAGAAGGGUCAUUCCUUUGGCCAUACCCAAUGGAGAAGAAUUAUUCCCUUGGUCGUGCCCAAUAGAUGAGCGUCAUUCCUUUUAUCGUGCUCAUGGAAGAUGGGUUGUUCCCUUUGUGGAUCCUAAAAGAUGAGGGUCAUUCUCUUGGCUUAGCUUUAAGGAGGAGGGUCAUUUUCUUGGCCAUGUCCAAAGGAGAAGGGUCAUUCCUUUGGUCGUGCCUAAGAGAGAAGGGUCAUUCAUUUGGUCGUGCCUAAGGUAGAUUGGUUGUUCCAAUGGCUGAGCCCAAGGGUGAAGGAUCAUUUCUUUGGUUGUGCUAAGGGAAGAGGGUUAUUUCCUUGGUUGUACCCAAUAGAGAAGGGUCAUUCCCAAGAGAGAUGGUGGCAUUCCCUUAGCAGAGCCCAAUGAAGGAGGUUCAUUCUCUUGGUCGUGCCCAAAGGUGUAUGAUCAUUCCCUUAACCGUGCCCAAGGAAGAUGGGUUGUCCUUUUAGUCAUGUCCAAAAGACAUGGGUUGUUCCCUUGGCUGAUCAUAACGGAGAAUGAUUAUUCCCUUGGCUAAGUCUAAGGGAGAAAGGUCAUUCAUUUAGCCAUGCCCAAGGGAGAAGGGUCAUUCCCUUGGCCGUGUUCAAGGGAGAUUGGUUGUUCCCUUGGCUGGGCCUAAGGGAGAAGGACCAUUCCUUUAGCUCAGCCUAAGGAAAGAGGGUUAUUCUUGUGGUCCUGCCUAAAGGAGAUGGCGUCAUUCCCUUGGAAGAGCCCAAAAAAGAUGGGUUAUUUCAUUGGUCAUGUCCAAGGGAGAUGGGUUAUUCUCUUGGUAGAGUCCAAGGGAGGAAGGUCAUUUUAUUGGUUGAACCCGAGGGAAGAGGGUCAUUCUCUUGGCCAUGCCUAAGGGAGAAGGGUCUUUUCUUUGGCCGAGCCCAAGAAAAAAGGGUCAUUCUCUUGAUCGAGCCCAAGGAAGGAAGGUCAUUCCCUUGGUUGUGUCCAAGGAAGAAUGGUCAUUUUCUUGAUCGUGCCUAAGAAAGAAAGGUUAUUCCCUUGAUCGAGCUCAAUAAAGAAGGGUCAUUCCCUUAGUCACACUUAAAAAAAGAGGGUCAUUCCCUUAACCGUGCUCAAGGGAGAUAGGUUGUUCCCUUAACCAUGCCCAAGUGAGGAGGGUUGUUCCCUUGGCCUCCAAGGGAGGAGGGUCAUUCACUUGGUCAUACCCAAGGGAGAUGGCGUCAUUCCCUUGGCAGAGCCUAAAAGAGAAGGGUUAUUCUUUUUGCCGAGCCCAAAAGAGAUGGGUUAUUCUCUUAGUCAUUCCCAAGGGAGAGUGAGAUAGAAAAAAUAUUUAAAAAAUAAUGGAAAUGCAACAUAGAAGAAAGACACAAAACAAUACAGGUUGCAAUAUUUACCCGUAGUGUUUUGCUUUGGUUUUUUUUAAAAAAACAAAUUAUUUGUCAAUUUAGUCCUUUCCUAUUAGGUUGACUUGUGAUUAGGUUUAAUGUUUUGUUUUUGUUGGCUUUAUAUAGGACUCUUACAAUGUUAAAAAUAAUUUUCGACUUUGAGUUAAUGCUCGAUUUGGUAAAAUAAAAUUUAGUUUUAUUGAUUGAAACAAAUUAAAAGUUUAGGGGUCCAAUUUCAAAUUAAAACAAAUAUUUAAUUUUUUAAAAAUUAAUAUAUUUAUCUCAACUUUUGACUUAUUUUUUUAUUGGAAUCAAUAAAUUUGUUAUCAUUUAUUAUUAAAUAUAACUCUCGAUUUAUUUUGUUAAAUGCAAAUAUAAAAUCUUUAGUUUAUAAUUAAAAAAAUAAUGGUAAAAAAACCAUUAACAACUUCUACACCUUUUUGUUGGAUUAAAAAAAAUAAUAAUUUCAUCCCAUAACGUAGCACACGGGAAUCAAAUUAGCAAUAAUAAAAAAAUAGAACGUGAUGCAUGCAUAAAUGAAAGGUAAGACUUCCCUAUUAUUUACCAAAAAAAAAAUAUUUUUCUUUCAUUGGUUAGGGAAUCAAUUUGCUGGUGUCUUGACUUCCAUUUUGUCAAUGAUUGAAAGCAAAGACUGUAACGAACAAUGCAUAGUAUUUAAAUGCUAAUUGUUCUCUUAAAUUUCCGAUGUCACUAAAGGUAUUCCACCACCAACCUGGUGGCCUGAAUAAAUUUGCAAACUGAAAAGGCUUGGCCACAUGAUGAUUGAUCGGCAUCCCGGGGAACGUGAUGGGUCUUCAUUUCUACACGUGCUUAAAACCCAAUUGGGAGGGAGAUGGGGUCCAAAGUAGGUCACAUGGAGGCAUCUGUGCGCUGUUAUGACUUAUGAGAUGGUAUACGUCCAGUUUUCUUUCAACGAGCCGGUCUUUAGUUUUUUAAUAUAGAUCAUUUUAAUAUUUAAAUAUAUUUUUAAAUAAAAAUUAUUUUAAAAAAUAAUUAUUAUUAUAUUUUUACCGGAUUAAACUUAUAGCAACUCGAGUUUCCUUUAACCUGGGUUUGGCCUUCAUUUCACUCCAAUUAUUCAUGCAAUUUUCUCUCGGCCACAAGUGAUAUUAAAGAAGAUUAGUAAAUAAAUCAAAUUACCUAUUAUAAUUAAUCAAAUUAUUAAAGAAGAAUAAUACCUAAUUAUUAAACAAUGUAUGUUUCAUUUCUAGAAUUCAUAGAUUCAAACUUUAAAAUUAAAAUUAAUUAAAAUUUUCUAAAUAUACUCCAUUAAUGUAUGUGGAAUGUGUGCUUUAAAGAUUGCUCGAGAAAAAGAUCUAGUUUUUAUUUUUGUGCAAGCUAAUACGAAAACAUAUAUUUGAUCUUUAAUGUUGAAUUGAAAAAAAAAUUAGAAAAUUGGUUAUUUUCUUUUAAUACGUGAUUGGAAAAUUAUCAUUAUCUUUUUCAAAAUAUUAGGAAAUAAAAUAUGCUAGUUUGUUAAUAUGUACAAAUAACAAACACAUGGAUAUUUUUCAACUAGAAUUUAAUUUAUAUUGCUUCAGCCUUAAUGAAUUCAAAUAAAAUAAACAAAUAUAUAUAUCAAGACAAGAACGAGGAAUUCUCUAAAGCUAGCCACAAGUCGGUACUUGCAAAACUCAAGGAAUAUAUUAUAUGCACUCAUUAUAAAAAAAAUUUGGGACUCCAUGCAAAUCUUUCGGUAUUUUAUAUUGAUUCAAUACGUAUUAUUUUAUGUAUAAUAUAACUUAAAAUAUAACAAAUGUGAAAUUACACUUCAAUCCUUCCUCUCCACAAAAGGACAAGAAUUAUGGGCUAUAAAUACACCAUGAAUCCUUCAAGCCAAAAGUUCAUAAUCUCUUUAUUCUUAACAUUUUCAGCAUAUAUAUUUUCAGAGUCUAUCUCUCUAAAAUAUCAAUGCAUUUUCUCUCUCUAUAAAGUUAUUGACUAUACUAUCAGAGAGUCCCCACGACCUUUAAAUGAUACUUUUUGCAGGUACCAGCUAUCGGUUAUCUGGGUUUACUAGGCACCACCUGCUACUACCACAGAUAUUGGUCACCUUGGCUUACAACAAUCACCAAUCACCUAGUUUACCAGACAUUACUUGCUAUCAGUUACCAAUCAUUUGAGCUUUUCAUAUUAAGUCACCAGAUACCUUAAUUAUGGAGAAUGGAUCGGAUUGCUUGAAUAGAGAGAUCAACCUUAUUCUUAAACAUCUUGCAUUUUGGGACUCAUCAAUUGGCGCCGUCUAUGGGAAACUGAUAAAAAAGUCAUCAGUUUCUAAAACUUGUUUUUGAUAUUUUCAGGUCAUUAUAUGCCACACAACCAAGACACUCAUGGGUCAUGACGCAAAACAAAUCUACUCAUUACCAUGAACACUUCUAUCCUAGUUAGACCUUCAACAACUCACCAAUCAUAUGCAACUCUUCACUCAAGUCGUGUUGGCAAUCUAAUGUCACAAUCAGACCUUGACACCCUAACAAGUCUUAGCAAUUAUGGUAACACACUUGAUCUCAUCACCAUCGUUACCGGUCGCUCCCAGUGUCUAUAGCUCGUUGCACUACCUAUAAGAGCUUGGGCAUAAUGAUCUCCAAAAGAGUAUUUUACCUCCAUACUUGCUAAGUCCCUCAAGGGGUCGCUCGCGCCAUUAUGAUGCCAUUGCACAUAACUGGUGCUCCAAACACGCUCCCUCAGCUACCGCGAGAUGGACCUCAGUUACCAAUCUCAUUGUUUCACACUAAACUCUUCAGGCCCCUUAAAGCCUAACAAAUCACCUCAUGAUGCAUAAUAUUCAAUGAGAAUGUGAGUUUAUUUUUUAAAUAAUAAUAAUGUAUAUUUGACAUACAUUUUCUAACUACAAAUCUUUAGUGAGGGACUUUCAACCACUCUCAUUGAAAGGGAAUUGACUUGGUCUCCCUAAAGCAAUACCCCUAUAAUCACUAGGGAUUGAUCUCAGAUCCUUCACUAUCUAGUGCAGUCUCAGACUAACACAUUCUCUAAGUGAUGCCAAAGGGUCUCUCACUAAUUCGCCAAAGGUUGAUCUCAGAUCCUUCACUAUACAGUACAAUCUCAGACUGACACAUUAUUCAGGUGAUAUCUAAGGGCCUCUCACUGAUUCGCCAAGGUUUGAUCUGGGAUCUUCCAUUCUUCAGGUGAUGACUAGAGGCCUCUCACCAAUUCACCAGAAGUUAUUUAGGAUCUCUUAUUCUUCAGGUGAUGCCUAAGAGCUUUCACCAAUUCGUAAGGGGUUGAUCUGAAAUCCUCCAUUCUCUAGGUAAUACUUAAAGGCCUCUCACUAAUUCACUAGGGGUUGAUCUGGGAUCCUCUAUUCUCUAGGUGAUACCUAAUAGCCUCUCACCAAUUCAUCGGGUUGAUCUUGGAUCUCCUACCUCUCCAAUGCAGUCUCGGAAUGACACCACUCUUUAGUACGGGCCUCCCAAGCCCACACGCCAUUACUAGGGAUGCUACCGACCUCCCAAGGGCUCCUAAGCCCCCACGUCAUCCUAGGAAGGUCGCAUACCUCCCAUACUUCAGUGCGACCACUCGUUAAGGGAUGAACUUAGUUUUCCUGGUGUAAUAGAACCACCUUUCAUGGAUUCAUCCCCUUUACCCUUUAAAAUAUUUUCUAAGUUUGGACGUUCACAUAGGUUCGCUCCCCUCUGCCAUUUAGAAAUUUUUCUAAGUAUGGGCAUCACCAUUGAUCACCCUCAUUAAGUUCCCCUCAGUCUUUUAGAAUAUUUUCUAAGUACAGACUCACCUUUCAUGGGUUUUUACCAGGCACUUAGAAAAUUUUCUAAAUAAAAGUUUCUUCUUUAUAAGUUUCUCCUGAGCUCUUAGAAAACUUUUCUAAGUAUAAAGUCUUUUACAUCUCACCUAACCUUUCUAAGAACCUUUCUAAGUAUGGUUUCCUUCAUGGUUCCCUUCUACAUACUUAGAAAUUUUUUCAAAUAUGGCACACACCCCUACACACGGGCUCUCCAGUUUAUUACCUAGGGUUUCAACCUUUUUUCUCAUAUGAAGAAAAUUUAACGAACUUAUCAUGGUAACUAAGCAUUUUUACAAGUCUUUACGAAUUAAUACCAAAAAGACUUGGGGGGCUACUGAUGAUUCAAAUAAAAUGGACAAAAAAAAACCUAAAUAGACCCAAAAAAAUCUCAUGGGCUUAGGCACACAUCCCGAGCCCAACACCUCCAUUGGCUCGAACACGUGGCCCAAGCCCAACAUUUACCAAGAAAUUUUUCAAGGACCCACACGGGUCCCUCAAUACUUUAUAUUGAUCCAAUAUAUAUUGUUUUGUGUAUAAUUCAACUCAAAAUAUCACAAAAGUUAAAUUAUACUUCAGCUCCUCCUCUUCAUAAAAUGAUAAAAUUCAUAGGUUAUAAAUACACCAUGAAUCCUUCAAGCCAAAGGUUCACAAUCUCUGCAUUCUUAAUAUUUUUAGCAUACAUAUUUUAAGAGUCUAUUUCUAUAAAAUAUCAAUGCACUUUCUCUCUCUAUAAAAUUACUGACUUUACCAUCAGAGAGUCCCCGCGUCCAUCAAAUAUGAGUUUUUGCAAGUAUCAGCUACCGACCUAGGCUUACUAGGCAUUACCUGUUACUACCAAAGUUAUCGGUUACCUAGGCUUACCAGGUAUUACCUGUUAUUACCAUAGUUAUCGAUCACUUCGCUUAUCAAACAUCACAUGCUAUCAGUUAAUAAUUCUUUGAACUUUUCAUAUUAAAUCACCUAAUACUUUGAUUAUGAAAAAUGAAGUAAAUUAGUUAAAUUAAAAAAUCAAUCAAUUAUCUAAUAUAUUAAUCUUAUUGCUAAUCAUUUUGAAUUUUGAUAUUCAUCAGGCUAAAAGUAAUUCUCUUUUCUUUCUUAAAAGCUUCAAAUUAUCAUUUUAGAAAGCAAUUAUUAUACCAAUCAGAGUACAAUACCUAACUAAAUGAUUAAAAAAAAUGAUUAAGUUUGUAGGUAGGACAUGACACAGCUAGGUAAUAUAUAUAUAUAUAUAUAUAUAUAUAUAUAUAUAUAUAUAUAUAUAAUGUGCAAGCCAACCGAUGAAAAAGAUAAAUCUUUGGUUUUCGAUGAUUAGGUAGUUAUCUACUGAGUAAUUAAUCUGUUAAUAUUCGAUCCCACUGAUUUACACGCGCUCGUAGAAAUGCAAAAGCGAAAACGCGUGCACGUUUGGAUGCUUUUGGUUUAUGGUAUGGAUAAGAGUUGUUGUCAAUGCCGUCCUUUCCUAAUUCUUGCAAACUGACCCUACCCUCCCUCUCCUCUCUCCCAAAACAAAUACAAAAUACCAUCUCUUUCUUGAUUUUUCCCCACACGCGUCUGUCAACACCAAACAUUAUAUAGACCUGGUCCAAAUCUUUGGGUUUUUUUUUAGGUAUUUUUAUUGAUUUUUAUAGAUUUAUUAAGGUGUUUAGAGUAUUUUCUAAGUAUUUUAAAUUAAAAAAUAAGUUGAAAAUUGAUUUCUAAAAGAAAUUUUUUUUUUAUUUUUUGGCCAAAAUUUAAGUAAUUUUAGAUGAUAUUCUCGUUUAUUUAUUUUUUUUCAAAAAACAUUAAAGCUUAAAACAUAUCAAUUUUUAAAAAAAAAUUAAGGGCUCGCGUGGGCCCUUUCUUUAUGGGCCAUGCGUCUAGCCUAGCAUACUAUGCUCAGUAAUGCAUAACUUGUUUUUUAUUUUUUUAAUUUUGAUUUUUUUAAUUAAUAUUUUUUUAUAUAUCUUUUUUUAAAAUAAUUUUUAAAUUUAUAUUUUAAUUAAUACUCCCUUCUCUAUUAUAUUUUUUUAAAUAACGAUUAUUUUUUAAUUAUAUUGUGUGUAUUUAAGUUUAUAAGAGGUUAAUAUAAUACAUAUAUAACUUCUUCUUUUUUGCAUUUUAUAUAGUUUAAAUUUAUUUUUAAAAAUAAAAUAUUAUUUUUAAAUAAUAUUUUAAUAUGUGCAACCUUAUAUAGUAUUAUUUUUUCUUUUAUUUUAUUCAAUCAAUUUUAAGUGUAUCAGUUUCUAUUAUCAUUUGAUUUAAUAAAAAAUUAAUAUUAAUAAAUAAAUUCAUUAAACACAACCGGCUAAAUAACCCGUGUUCUGAAAUCUUGAUUUACAUUUAUCUUUUAAUUUUAAUUUUAUUUAUUAUUAAUAAUAUUUUUUCAUUUAUUUACAUAUAAAAAAAAAUAUCAAACCACAUGGUCAAAUUGCUAGUUAAAGACCCAAGCAAAGCAAAUACCUAAAAAAUAUCCGACCACAGGAUCAAAUUGCUAGUUAAAUACGCAAAGCAAAUACCUUGAUUUUUCUCUACUCUUUCAAGGCCAAGACACCUCCCUCCCUCUUUUAAUUAAGACUCCAAGAGACUUUGUUUUUCCUUCUCCUCCUCUCUUUCAUUCCUCCCCCUCCCUUCACUUCCCAUUCUUGAUACAUCUAUCGCCAUGACAGACAGGGUCUACCCUUCUACUAAACCAGCCACAAAUGGCACAGCAGCUACCAACCCCUCCUUUCCAGCCACAAAUGGCACAGCAGCCACCAACCCCUCCUUUCCAGCCACCAAAGCCCAACUCUAUGGUGCCACCCGCCCCACCUACCGCCCCCAACCCAACCGCAAACGCAGCCGCAGUUGCUGCUGUGCCUGUGUUUUAUGGACUACAGCGGUCAUCUUCAUUCUCAUAGUCCUUGCUGUCAUAGCUGGAGCCAUCAUCUACGUCCUCUACCGACCCCACCGCCCCUCCUUCGACGUCUCCGGCCUCAGUAUCUCCUCUCUCAACCUUACCUCAGCUUCCCAUCUCACCACCAACAUCAACCUCAACAUCACCGCUAGAAACCCUAAUAAAAAACUUGUCUACACAUAUAACCCCAUCACCAUAUCUGUGACUACAGAAAGAGAUGAUAUCGUUGUAGGCAGUGGUUCGCUACCCUCAUUUGUGCAUGGUACCAAGAACACAACCUUUUUGAGAGCCGCCAUCACAAGCAGUGGCGUGCAACUGGAUGAUGUAUCUGCUGGUAAGUUAAAGGCUGAUUUGAAGAGCAAGAAUGGUGUGGCUUUGAAGUUAGAGCUGGAGACUAAAGUGAAGGUCAAGAUGGGAGGGUUAAAGACUCCAAAGGCUAGGAUUAGGGUCACUUGUCAAGGGAUUAAAGCCACUGUUCCAUCUGGGAAAAAAGCAACAACAGCAUCUGUGUCAAAUGCAAAGUGCAAGGUUGAUUUGAGGAUCAAGAUCUGGAAGUGGACUUUCUAACAAGGAAAGUAUUUCAGAGGAGAUAUUGUUCUGCGGUUCAUCAACGUUUUCUGGGUUUUGUUUUUAAUUUUUGGCUUUUUUCUUUUCUUUUUAAUUUGACAUUUACAGAUAUUUUCUUUUCUUCAACUGUUGGUGAGAAUAAUUAAUCAUAUAUGUUUGUAAAUGGAAGGGAUAAAGUUUGGUGAUUGCCUGUAUUAGGAGAAAGAAAUUUUAUUUAAUUUGUUAUUAUACAGAUUUGAAAGAUUUUAAUUUGUUUGAUUCUUGAUCAUCAUCUUGUUAAUUAGUGAUAGAAAAAUCUAAUCUUUCAAGUGGGAAGGAGAGGACCAUCAUAUUGAUGAUGUAGUAAAGUCAUGUUAGGCCGUGUUUUUAGCUAGCUUAGUGGAAGCACAAGAGAAUGCAGCUGUCCCUAAAGUCAACGUCGACGGACACCUUAUAGAAAUUAAAGCCAACUCUUCUCUUCUUUUCUCUUUUCAACACUUAAAAUUAAUAUAAAUUGAAUUUACAAUUUAAACGUAAAAUGAUAUUUAUUUAUUUUAUUUAUUUAUUUAUUAACGUGGGUGUCCAAUCAACUUACACGCAUAUCGACUAAUUCCACGGGUUCUAAAAUUAACUACUAUGUAAAUAUCCAGUAGUCUUAAGGUUUGUGAGACUCGAACUGAUGAUUUUUAAAAAUCAAAUCUAAAAUCUGACCAGUUAAAUUAUACCUCUUAAAAUUUACAAUGCCAUUUAUCGACUCCACGUAAUGGAUGGCUCUCCCGAAGGUGAAUAAAUUUUAAAAAAAUACCCCAUUGAUAAACUUAUUUAUACAUUCAAUUUAUAAUCAUAUUCCGAUUACAUUUUUAUUUAUAUCAUAUUAUGUUCCGAAUUAUUUUUUGUCAAAAUUUGUAUAUUAUGAUUUUUUUUUUCUUUUGAACAUAUUAUCUUUGAUUUCCAGUACUAUUCUCAUUAUAGUUAUUUUACUAUGGUAUUUACGAUUUUUUUGUUUUUGUGGGUGGGUGCAUAAUAAGAAAUUUUGAUAUUUUGUAUUGGCAGUGCACCGACAAAAUGCUGCACUCUGUAUAUUUGAUGUCAUCAUGUUCGGAAGUUUUUGUUUUUAAACCUCGUUUUUUUAAGUAUUUUUUAUUUAAAAAAUAAUGUUAUUUUUAUAAUUUUAAUAAGUUGGUAUUAAAAAUAAAAUGAAUUUUAAAAAAAUAUUUUAAUAUGUUUUUAAUUAAAAAAACUUUUUGGAGAUUGGAAAAAUGCAAAUUCAUCUAACCAAACAAAUAGCACUGAUGGCCCAUCUCUCCUUUUCUUUUUCUUUAUUUAUUUGGCAAGGACCAUCCUGUCAUUUUCUGACUUCGGAUGCAUGUAGCUUCCUAGCUUUGAUUCCUUAAUAAAAAUGAUUAUUCUUUUUUUAUUAUUCAUUAGAUAUUAAAUCCAGAAAUUCACUGGCUUUUCUUCUGAUUCCAACCUGUGGUGGGCCCUUUCCAAUUGUGUGAUUCACACACACACACACACACACACAUAUAUAUAUAUAAUAUCUCUAAAAUCUUUUAUGGAGUGGUUGUCAUGUCACUUUUAUUUGGGCACAAAUAAUUGAUUCUUAAAGAAAAUGAGGCAGUCUACGCAACAUGUGAAAUUACGGAUGUGUCGUGAGUACAUGUCACCCUCAAAUCUAUCAUAAGAGAAAAUAAUGUUGAGGAGGCUUCAGAUUUGGUCUUUUUAUUUUUUAACUUUAUAAAUUAUAUUUUUAAAUAUUAUAUUUUUCAUCUUGUAAUUUAACAGUGGGCAACACUUUACAACCUUGUAAGUUAGCGUUAGAAAAAAAUAAAAAUAUAUAUAUGUUUAUUUAUAAAAAUACUAUUAUAUUUGUGAUAAAAAUUAAAAAAAAAAACCCUAAAGUUAAAAAUAACUAAAAUACUUCUAGAACCGUUGAGUUAUUGCUUUGAAAAUUAGUUUUUGGCUCUUUUUGAAAAAGAGUUGUUAGUAGUUUUCAUUUAAUUAUAAAAAUAUCAUAAAUUAUUAUAUUUAACAAUAAUUUCCAGCUACAUUCCAGCAUGCAUUACCAAAUAUAAAAUCUAGCAUCCUCAUCGUCAUCUUCCCCAACAUAUCCUUUCUUAUUUUCAGUGUAAUUUCAUCAAAUAAACCUACCAAACCUAGCAAAAUCCUAUAUUUUCUUUUCAAUCAAAGCAACCUAAUCAAUUUUUACCGUAACUUGUAAAUGACAUCUCAACAAUUCAUUUUUCAUUUUCAUCAUAAUUAUGCAAUCAGCACAAUCACAAUGCAAAAUUAUUAUGAAUAUGACAUCAUCUGCGUCAAGUGUUAAUAACAUACAAAGCUGGUACAACUUAGAUAGACUAAAAUUCAAGAAUAAAAAAUAUAUGAAAUGUAAGAAGAGAGCUGCAGUCAGAAUAUCAAAAACAUAAACAAAUAAAAACAAGCUAUUUUACAGAUACGAUGAUAAGUCAUGCGAAAAUACAUUCAUUGACUGGUGCGAAUCUAUUAAUGAAAUUGAAUUAAUUACAUGAAGGGAAGAAGGUGCUAAUGAUGUCUACUGAAUAGUAGAUGAAGUAAAGAAAUUGAAAGAUAAAUUAUGUAGAGUUUGGAUAAAAAAUCACAAUAUAAAAGCUAUCUUAGCAAGUGUAAAAUUAUUUGUAGUAGCUAAUUUAGUUGUGCAAUGUUAAUAUUUGGAACAACACAAUUAUAUUAUUUCUAUUAAAAAAAAUGAAACAUGGUGAAUGUAUUUUCUAGUAUAGUCAAAAUGCAAGCAAAUUCAUAUCACUCAUAUCAAAAUAAUGCUACUUAAAUAGCAUGUACACAACAACAAGCAUUCACAAAUAGCUUAAAUCGUCAUGGUACUUAAUAUAAUAAACACAAUGAUCCACAAUAUGACAUCAAUUCAUAUAAAUAAUACUAAUGUAGCAUUCAAAAGUCAUUAGUCUUAAACAUCUUCAAACCUACAUAUUAUAAAAAAAACGAUAUUGAAUAGUAAGUGUGAUUUUUUUUUCAUUGAAUCUAUAAAACUACCAUGCAUAUUUAGAAAAAUCACUUGUAUCUGGGUUGAUUGGCUCCUCCUCUUCUUCUUAAAACUCUUGAGCUUCUAUUUAAGCCUUUUUCAGGAACAUUGAACAUUCUCCUAACAGUGCUAUAUCCUUUUAAUCCCUUGCCAAAACUACCAGAUCCCCUUCCAAUAUAAUUGCAUCUUUUCAUAGCACUGCCACCAGUAAUUUACGCAAUACUAUCUUGUUGGCAUGUCCUAGAAUUAUAUAUAUAUAUAUUGCACGUAAAUGUUGCAUCGAAGUGUGGAAGACCUCUUCCUAACUGUACCGGGUUGAUCUUAUCCUUCUUCCAUUGUCUAUUCUUUCCUAGUCUACUCAUGCUUUUUUUGAGUUUUAGAGGUAGAACAAUUAUAUCUCUCUUUUUUUAUGAUCAAAAUCAGCUUCUGGUAAUGAGUGCACCACCUCAAAAUAUACUUUUUCUAAAUGUAUCCACAUUGUAAUACUCAUUACGCAGAUCUUCUAACUCAAUUAUUUUGUGAUUAACCCAAGGGAUAACAUGUAAGCAUGGAAUAUUAGUCAUUACCUAUUUUUUACAUGAACACUAUUUUUUCCCAAAUCAACACAAUACCUUAUUUGACCCUCAUAGACUCGGUAUCCAUCACAACUAGCUGCAAUAAUUCUUAUUUUCCUUUCUUUUUCAACAAAUUUAUCCAACAAACAUAAGAUGUGGUUUUUGUUGCUUAAUUUUUAGAUUGAGCUGACAUGAAACCUAGCCAUGAGUUUAAAUCUAAUCUUUUCUAACAAAAAAAAAAAAUUGGCGUGCUCCUAUAUUUACCAAUCUAGUUGUUGAAUGAAUCGGCCAAGUUAUUAGUCAUAUUAUCAAUAUUAACUUCAAGGUCAAACAUAUACCUUGCCUAAGUCUUAGUAAAGAUGUUCUUCAACCAAUUGACAACUCUAGUGUUCAUAUCCCUAAUAUCUAUCAUAUAAGUAUUGUAAUUAAGAUACAUGCAAGCUUUUAAUGCAUCCCAAAAAUCCAUUUUCAAUACCAAUCCAUGAAAACCUUUCUUUUUGUAGUUGGCAUAAAUAUGUCUUGAACAAUGCAUAUGCAUUGCCUCUAGGAAUACCUCGCCAACAACUUCAGGGGAACUCUGGAAAUAAAUUAUGAUAGUUAGAUAAUACAAUUUCAAAAUAAAUACAAGUUUAGAAAAGAGAUUAAAUUCAUAAUAAAAUUAAAUUAUGACAGUUAAAUUAACAAUUUGCCUAUCAAAAAUUAUAUAGAAUGGUCUCUAACGUAUUCAAUAUUUUAUGGAUCCAUAUAAAGCAUAUACAAUCCAACACUGUAUUUCGUUGUUUUCACACUCAAUAAUAGCAUAAACAAUAAGAAAUAAUCCAUUAUUUUCAUCCAAACCCACUACACUUAAAAAUACCUCCAUAUAGACCCUUGAGAUGACAUCCAUUAAUUCUAAUGAAAUAACUACAUUAAAAAAUAAAGUCUUCCUUCAUUACUUUCAAACGAAGAUACACACAUUAAAAAUUUCAUGGUGAAUGAUUUUAUCAUGAAUUUCUGACUAUCAAGAUCAAAGGGAUCUUAUAUCCACCAAUCACAACCAUCACCUAUACAUAUAGCACCAACCUUAACUUUCUGAUUAAUAUAUCUUUUAACAUGAUAUUCAUGUUUGACCUCAUACUUGUGCAAUAAAUCUCUAAAGUGAGUUGUAUUUUUAGAAGUUUAACAUUCUUCAAACUUUAUUGAUCCAUUAACUGCAAAUUUAAACCUUUUACAUUUAAAACUUUAGAUCUACAUUCGUCUUUUUCAUUUUCAUUUUCCUCUCAUUUUUGAUCUCAUCCUCAUUGUCCUUAUCAAUAGAUUAUUCUCUAAUUUCAACAUCAAUAUCAUCUUUGUCACUACUCAUUUUCCGGUCAUUAUCAUAAUCAAAAGCACCAUUCAAUGUUUAACUAGUAAAAAAAAUCAGCUUGUAGGUUAUCAAUCCACUCAUCUUUAACUUUAUUAUAAAAUUUAAAAACAUCCUCAUUAGAAGGGAUAUAAUCAUCAUCUACUUCAUCAUUAAAAUCAUCAUCAGUAUCCAUUUUGACUCUAGCAUCACCACAAACAUUAUUAUCAACACUCGUUUCAAAACCCAUAUUAGGACCACUACCAGAAUAUCUAAUAUCACCACCACCAACAUCAGCAUCCAUCUUAAAACCCAUUUCAUCCCUAUUAGGACUAAUAUCAUCAAAAUACGAUAUCACUUUUUCAAUUUCAGGAUCUUGGGCAGUAAAAUAUUUGGUUCCAGGUGGCUUGUCAUCUUUAGGAUUACCUGAAUAACACAUCAAUAUUUUUAUCAUUACAAAAUUAACACCUGGAUCAGCAUCAACAUAUAGACACAACUCUUUUUUUUACCUUUAUACAUCCUUAAUACCUUUAAAGUCGAAGCGUCAUCAUAUAUUUUUAUCACUUGACCUUUUUCGGUCAUCGGAAUCCAUGUUUUUGGACCUGAAAAACCUAAUUUCAUUUUGUUUUUACCUAAAAACAAUUCUAAAACAUCAUCUAACUCUUAAAAACCACUUAACAACCAUAAAAUACCAAAAAAUCAUUCUAAAAAAAUGAAAAACAACUUAAUCAAAAUAAACCAAACAAAACUCAAUUACUUUCCCCGUCAUGUUUAGAGAAAAAAAUAACUUUUAUUGAGCUCCUCUCAAGAAGACAAACUCAUUAAUACAAAGAUCCUUUUUUUUGUGGCUUUAAUGUGGCCACCCAAAGCUUUUUCUCUCAUUUGCUAUUUCCAGCGAGUUUCUUUCUUUUCUCUUAAACUCAAGGAUUGAAAAAUAAACAAAAUGAACCUAUGGGUAAAAAUAAAAAUUCUAAAAACUUUGAUAUUGGUCAUGAAUUUUCUAUAUGUUUUACAAUGUGGUCCUCUCACUUUAAAUUUAAUCUUUCUACUAUAAUUUGAAAUUUUAUCUCAUAUAAUUAGGCCACAAAAAAAUCAAAUAAAAAAAAUUUAGUGUGAAAUUAAAAAAAAAGAUGAAAAAUAAAAAAAGGUGAUACUUCACUAUUCAUAUGAACAAUGAAAUGGUUGAGGAAAAACUCUGGUUCUUUAGUGUAUUUGUUAUAUAGUCAUUUGAUCCAUGUUUCUUCGCGGGUCGUAGAGUUUAACCAAAUUUUUUUAAUGCAGAAAAUAAAUGUGCAAGUAUUGUCAAUGCGUUUUUUAACAUCAAGAAAAAAAAUUAAUUGUGAAUCAGAAAGUUUAUGCAUACAUUUAAUAAAAUAAAUCGAGAAUCAUAUAUACCGAUAAAUACUAAAAAGAAUUAUUAAUGCUAUAUUAUGGGUAGGAUCCCAAGAAUGUACCAAUGUUGUGGAUGCGUUUUAUUGUAUAUGCUUUUUUUUUUUUAAAUUGAGAAACAUAAAGAUGUUGUUUGCACAUAAUAAAUAAAUUUCAAAAUAUCUGAAUCGAUAAACUAAGAAAGAGGUUUUAAUACCAAUUAAAUUCUAAAAUGAAAAGCUAAUCUUUUCUAUUAAAGCAAAAAACAGAUAAGUAUGCAAAUAUUUAACCCCAACCUUUUCUUUUAAUUUUUAUGCUUUUUUUAAACUAGAACAAAAAAAAUUUAUUUCUAUAAAUGGAUCAUGAAAAUACAAUUUAUUUAUUUAGAAUAUAAAGGAAAGAAAUUAAAAAUAAAUUACAUUAAUCUCUUUGAAACAUUAUAAAAAUAAAUAAUAAUUAAAAAAAUUUAAAAAGGUGAGCUAAUCAAUUUAAAAAAUUAGCAAGUUAUGGAAUUAAUUUAAAUGUGAAUAAAAAAAUUAAUGCAAAAUAGAAAAAUAUAUAAAAGGGUGUUAAUUAAAAAACAAAUAACAAUCAAAAUUAGAAAAAAUACAAAAGAGGCUAAGUGCCAUUGGCAAGCCAGGCCUACGAACAUAGUUAGUUACCUAAAAGCUAGGCAUGCCUGGUUUUUUUUUUUUUAUGGAUCAAAUGACACGUUGUUUGCUCUCUCUUUUUUUUAUCCUUUUUUUUUACUGGACAAUAGGUUAUCUAAUGUGGAAAAUGACAUGUCAUCGCCUUCAAUCUUUUCUGGUCACAAUCGAUAACCAAAAAGUUAGGGUUCGAGUUUUGGACCUCUAAAACCCAUUUUUAAAUCUAUUUUAAUGUGAAAACAUCUAAAAACACUCUUAAAAUAUAAAUAAACUAUUUUUUCAACUCAAAACACUUAUAAAUUGGUUCAAAAAAUACAAAAUUAAACCUCUUUUUUUUUGUUUCUCAACUGCAAUCCUUUUUUUUGGCAAAUGAAGGGUUAAAAACACCUAAAUGGAACUCCUCUUAUUAAAUAGAAUUCAUUGAUUGCAAAAUCAACUAUUUUAGAUGCUAAAAUGUGACUAACCAAAAACUCUCUCUCAUCUCUUGUUUUUCGGCGAGUCUCUCGCUCUCCUUUCAAAUGUUGGGACCAAAAUGUGAUGAAAACAAAGUUUGGGAACAAACAUUAAUGUGUAAAUAUAAAGGGGCCGAAAAUGUAUUUAGCAAAAUAUUCUAGGCAAAAAAUUGUUAAAAGAAAAAAAAAUCAUUGCAUUGUUGUCCUUGAAUGUAAUUUUUUCCAAGCAAUAAAAACAAUUUUAUUUUACAAAAUCGAGCACCAACAUAAUAUCGAAAUGUUAUUUUGACAUCUUAUUGAUUCUAUAAAAAUUAAAUCAAAACAAAUCAUUAAGCAUAAUUUCCAAUUAAUAUAAUGAAAAAUGAUCAAAUUAAAACAAAAUUGUUUGGUGAUCAAAUUAAACAAAUUGUAAAAGAACAGGAAAAAAAAGCUCAAGUAAUUUGCGUGUGGGUGUGCAAUGCUUUAAUAAUAUUUUCUCCAUACCAUUUAGGUAAUUUGAAUAUCUCUAAUACUUAAUCAAUAAAGGAAAGGAGAGACGAGGAAAACCACUCUCCAUGAGAAUAAAGUAAAAGAAAAGAAGCCAUCUAGGUGGUGGCCCAGUGGUAAGAGCUUGGGACCAAGAGGUUUGCUCCCUCUGUGGUCUCAGGUUCGAGCCUUGUGGUUGCUUAUAUGAUGGCCACUGGAGAGCUUACAUGGUCGUUAACUUCAGGGCCGUGGGAUUAGUCGAGGUGCGCGCAAGCUAACCCGGACACUCACGUUAAACUAAAAAAAAAAAAAAAGUAAAAAAGAAGAAAAAAAAAGUAUCGUGCCAACAUUACAAGGAAUAGAGGAAUAGAAAGAGAAGCAUGAGGCACUCUUACUUACAGGAACAUUGCUUAAAGCAAUAGUUGGGGGGCUUAAUUGAAAGUUUCAUCAUAGUUGAGGACCUAUUUAAAUUUACAAUCAAUAGUGAGGGUGGGAAAUCGAGUUUACCUUUAAACCCUAGAUACCCUACAAAAUUUCAAAAGCUAAAUCCCUCCGAAAGGCCAAUCCCCCCCCCCCCCCUCUCUGCGUGUGUAAUCAACCGCCAACCAUGUAUAGGAUUGCUUCAAGAUUAGCUUCGUCACGUAACUUCUUGAUAUAUAAAAUAUGUGUGAAUGGAGCAGCUAAUAAUUCUCUACUGUGCUUCUUUUGUUUUUCUAUCUUUUCACAGCUCCUCUGCUUCAAAGAAGCAGGUACUACCACCGGCCUCUCGCUCUUUCUUCAAUGGCAUAUCGACUUUUUAUUUAUUAAUAAGCAAUAAAUGAUCGAGAAAUUCGAUUUAUAUGUGAAAAAUGAACCUGGGUUAGCUAAGCCCAGAUAGAUACUUGCAUCUCUUUUAGUCAAAUGUUCUUCACUGUGAGCAAAUGGAGGUCAUGGUUAGUUUGAUUAUUUCAAAACUGAGUCUUUUUGGGUCGGUCCAUUCCUAUGAAAUACACUUUGAUUUGAGUGGUUUGGCUGUUCUAUGUGAUUCUUGCUUGAGGUUGUUCAUCCGGGCAUUUACUCAUCUUGACAAGCUUAUUGGUUAAUGCUGUCAAUUGGGUAGUUAUCCAGUAGGGUCACAUACAGUAGAAGUUAUGUGGCUAAGGAUAUCAAUUUUGGAGUUGGGGCUCGUGCAGCUAUGCUACAGGGUGUCAAUGAGGUUGCAGAAGCCGUGAAAGUCACAAUGGGACCAAAGGUAUUGAAGUUACACCAUCACUUUUUUUCUUAUCUAUUCUUUCUUCAAGUUCUGUGGAUUAGUUUGAGGGUGAGAAACAAUGAGCGCCAUUACCAUGUCUGGCCUGAACUGAAUUUCUGUAUUUAUUUAUUUUUUGCAAAAUAAGGUAUCCAGUGCUUGUUUUGAAAUUUGAAAAUUGGCUUUCUCUAUUGUAUCCAUGGCUUUUAUCAUCAUCAUCAUCAUCAUCAUCAUCAAUUCAAUUAUUAAGAAACUACAAUAAAACUGUAUGAGGUUGAGCUCCUGCAAUGAUGAUAAAAACACUCAACAAAUAUACUGGUCACCCUUCCAUAUAACUGAUCUCAACUCCUUUCCUUGAUCAAUUCAGGGCCGCCAUGUUAUUAUUGAAAAAAGCAAGGAUGGAGUCACUGUUGCCAAAAGCAUAAAGUUCAAGGAAAAGGCGAAGAGUGUUGGUGCAGACCUUGUGAAGCAGGUCGCAAAUGCUACUAAUACUGCCACGGGGGAUGGUGAUCUCUCAACUUCAUGUCACAAAAGCACCAUUAUUAUUAUGAAUUUCUUAACAUAAUUUGAAUUGAGAUUAAAAGUUGGAUAGAUUUGUAUUGUUUUUGUGCCUCAAAACUGCUUUAUUCAUUUUGAAAACCAAACAAUCAAAAAAAGAAGUAAUACUUGGUGUUCUGUCAGUACAUAACCAAACAAGCAACAUGAUACAUAACACUGGAUACAAAACAUUAGAUCUCUAUGUUAAGUUUCUACUUGAAGUAGAAACUUGUCAUUGAUCAAUCUUCAGCUCUAUCUACUAAGUUCCCAUUUGGGGGUUGGGGGUGUUUGUUAUGUAUCAUGUUGUAGGUACAACUUGUGCAACUGUCCUGACUCAGGCUAUACUCGCCGAAGGCUGCAAGUCUGUAUCUGCUGGUGUGAAUGUGAUGGAUUUGCGUAGUGGCAUCAAUAUUGCGGUUGGUGGUGUCCUUUCAGACUUGAAAAAGAGAGCAUUGAUGAUAAGCACACCAGAAGAAAUUACUCUGGUACACAGCAUCUUACGGAAGCUGUUCUUGUCCUUAUAUUAUGUUUGGGGGGAAGCUUUGAUCUAUUCCAGGAUCUAAUUGUAAUGAAUCUGAUUUGCAAUAAGGAUUUAGCUAACAUCUAGUAAAAAGAAAGGCAUUAUAGUUUUCUAACCGCUGAAAGUUACCUCUCUAGUUUGCUAGGGUAGCUUUCUGAUCGUAGACUUGCCUUGGCACAUUUUCAUAUUAUAGUCCCAGAUAAAGUCCCUUAAUUGAAAUUUGGAUCAUUUGGACCUCUUUUUGGUUGUUAUUUACUUAAUUACAAAUAUUUUUCAUAUUUCUAGAACUAUUUCUUGUGCUCAUUGUUUGUAUGCUUAUAAGAUCUUUGACUCUACUCUAUGUACACUACUCUUGUUUUGUCUUUGCUUAUCAGCCAGUGUAUCCCACAAAUCUGAAUAGGUUGCCACUAUCUCUGCAAAUGGUGAACGUGAGAUUGGAGAAAUGAUAGCAAGAGCAAUGGGGAAAGCUGGAAAGCAUGGAGUGAUUACUGUCACUGUGAGUGCACUUCCUCUUUUUGACAUGAUAUGAUCACUGGAUAAAUUU
rnacentral:lncRNA from 1 species